rnacentral:lncRNA from 1 species
CAAAUCCUUUUCCCAUCUCUUCUCUCCUUCUCAAAUUCUCCCGGCCACCGGUCUCCACCGUAAUGUCCCUCGCAUACGCCGUCGCUCACUCUUCUCAGUCAACGCAACUCCGCAUCAGAAACCGCCGGAAAACCAGUUUUCGAAAGCGAUGCUUCCGGAUGAUCAAGCAACAGAAAACCAGAUUUUAUAUCCUCGGCCGUUGCAUCUCCAUGCUUCUUUGUUGGCACGAUCAUGAUAUUACUGAUUAAAUCGCCUAAUUCCACCGUCGAUUGUUGUUUUCUUCCCUCCUAUUUCGACAAUCAACGUUCUUUUCGCCCGCGAGAUCCUCCGAUCGGUAAUUGAACUCCGAUUCUGAAGGAAAUGGAGGUAAAUCGGAAUCUUGAUUAGGUAUCAAAUUGAUCGGAGGAGUUAGGUAUACGGUUUAAUUUCUCACCGGCCGUUAUAACAUACAGCGCCGUGAUUCGUUCGCUUGGAGUAGAUUUCUCUUGAUCGACAGAGAAGAGACAAAUUGAAGGCAAGCAAAAACUAGUUUAAUUUCUCUUUGAACUUUUCUUCUAAUUUUAGUUUGUUAUUAGAUCGUUGAUGACCUUCAUUCGACGUACGGAUACAUGUAUAUAAACUGAUUAGAAAAAUUAAAAAAAAAAAAGGUUUUCUUUUUGUUUUGAAAUCGGACUCUGUUUUUGAGAACGAUUUGAAUUGAAUCUCUGUAUUUAUGAAUUUUGUUGAGAUUUAUCAAUCAUCAGAUUAUCAGUUCUUAUCUUAAUGGAUUCGUUUGCAAAUUAUGAAGAAAGUCAACUUUUUUUCUUCUCUAUACAUAGUUCAUAAUUUUAAUUUGAUUUUUGUGCGAUAAAGAAGUGAGCAGGAAAAUAGUUAUCCAAUUGUGGAAAUAUGUACAAAAAAUUACUUCUUUUCUUUGUUUAAAAUAAUAUUUUCUUCCACUUGUAAAAUCAACCGUAAGUUAAAUAAUAUAGAUUAAAAUUAAGUUUUAUGUCGUAGGAUACCACACGGGUUUACGUGUACAUCACCGAUACAUCUCUAUUCUUUUCAUCAAGAAUUCUUAAAAUUAUUGUGACUUAUCUUUUAAUUUGCCUCUGACCAUCAAAUGAAAUGUGAAUAACUCGUCCUCCUCUCCUUGAAACAAGAAACGCUUUUGAUUCCCUUUAAAUAAUUUAGUCUUCUCUAUAUUACUAUAUCUCUAGAGUCGAUAAUUUAUAUGAAGAAUUAUUACUAUUCAGUUUUCCAUUGAGGUCCUCCAAUGGAGGUACUCAAAUUGGUUACUUCCAUUUCAUGCUUAGAACAAUUCUAUAUUAAAUAAUCUCUUUCUUAUAAUAUAAGACGAUAUUGAUGGGUAUGCAAGGAAAAAUGUGGAAGAUUCAAAUACAAUCUUGUUUGGGUAUGGAGGGUUACAUUUUGAUUCUCAAUUUAUUUAUUUUCUUUUUUUACUUUUAAUUAGUAGUAGAAAUAUGAUUAGUAAUAAAUGGUGAGUAAGAAGAUUGGUUAGGUGGAAUAAAAUUGAACCACAUACCAAAUUUUGAUCAAAAUAUAUAUUUUUUUCUCUUCAUUCUUUUAUGUCAUUUAAGUAAUAGUAUAACCAUGAUUACUAAUAAACACUACAUUAAAAUAUGGUUUGAAUAAAUUUGAUAUUGUUAAUUAGUGUUGAGCUAGACUAAGCUUAUCGUUUAUUAGUGAACUUUUGUGGUUUGAAUUCUAAUAACAUCUUAAAAUGUCUAUUGAAUUCAACUUUGAUGACUUGAAUGGAUAGAUAUGUUAUUCCGACUAAUUUUAUAUUUGAGCUCGAAAAAUAACAGUGAUGUGCUUACCAUUACUUUUAACCUAAAUCUCCACCAUAGUUGGAUUGUUAAUUCCCAUCCAUUAACUUCUAAUCUAAGUAAUGGGACCCACUUAAUGUACGAUUAAAAAAAAAAGCACUUAUUAACACUUUACAUUGGAGGGCCUAAGUAAUAAGUGGUUGUAGUUAUGCCAAAAAUUUAGUUUUUGAUGUUUCGUUUUUUACUUUUGAAUUUUUAUGUCGAAGUAUUUAGUUCUUUAUAGUUUUACUGUCUAUUUAUUUAGUCUUUGUCACCGUCAAUUUUUAAACAAAAUAAUUAUUAAAUUAUAGUUGUUUUCAAAUUAAAAACUAUACAGUGAUUGUUGUUAGAAUUGAAAAUGUAAAUUCAUAAUGAACUUAUCAGACUAAUACAGAUAAUAAAAUUUGACUUUUGUGGUUAAAGAUUUUAGAAUUUCAAGGGAAUAAUUAGAUACUUUCUUAAUUAGGUAAUUUUUUUUUUUUUUUUUUUUUUGAGAAGUACUUUCUUAGGUAAUCAAAUAACUCUAAAUAUCGUUAUAGUGGGUAUACAAUUAAUAUAUUAAAACUCAAUAGACAAAUUGAAGUAUUUAAAAAACUAAGGUGUGUGAGUAUAUAUAUAUAUAUUACUUUUGUUUUAAGUGUUCGUAGUUUGACUUUGAUGCAAUCAAGGAUCAAUAUUUAAAACAUUUAAAUUAUAUUGAAGAAUUAAAUUUCACUUAUUCGAACUUAAUUAUAAUUUUAGGAAUCUUUGACAAAAUUAAGUUCUGGGAAAUUCAUAGCAACCAAUUUUCUUUUAUUGCUUUUAUUAUUGUCCAAAACAUUUAAAUUUUAAUAUAUGUUUUCAUAAUUGUUGAUUAUAUUAUGACUUUUGCUUUAAUCUCUUUACUAGCAUUAAGUUUAAUAUAUAGAUUUUCAACAAAUCUUAAUUUUAUUUUAUAAGUGGUUGGUUUUUUUACAACAUUGCAAAGGACCUUUGCAUUAUAAAAUUUUAAAGCAUAUAUUUUUAAAAAAGUAUUUACCUAAUUUAUGUUAUUUUAUAAAGAUUAUUAUAUUUAUUUGAUAAAAUUUUAAAAAUAAAUUUGAAGUACUAAAUUUAGGAUUUAUGAUUAACAAAUUUCAACGUAGAAGGGACAACGUAACCUUCCAUCAAAUUUAGAUAGCCCAGCCCAACUCACACCAUUGGGUCACUCUGGUGGUCCAGCCCAAUGUUAAUAUAGCCGAAAACGGUUAUGUAACUAUCCAAUUUCCGAAACGACGUCGUGUAGAGGACUCAUAAUUUUAGCUUAAACCCUAGUCCUGUCGCCGCCGGUGGUCACGCAGUCUCCGGCGACAGUUCCCGCUGUUAGUCUUCUACUACGGUGAAAAUCUCGAUUCUGAUUCUUUCUUUUCAGUGGAAAAAUCUCCGAACCCAUUACUCUACAUUGUUCUAUUCUGAUUUGAAUUUGUUUGCAUUGAGUUGGGUGUAAUUUUUGUUGUGUUAUUGAGUAUUGAGAAAAAUCGAACUUGUGAAUCUAUCAAUGUUGGACGAAAGCAAAUUCGACGUGCAUCUGAAUCUCUGGGCCUUAAGAAUUCCGAGGGAACUUUGUAAGGCCGCCAUUAAAAUACUGAACGGGUACGCUAUGUUUUGUGUUAUAUUGUUUCGAUUUCAAUUAAUCAUUUGGGUAAUGGCAUUUAGCAUUAGUGUUACUCAUAUAUUGUUGUCGUUGAACUGUUCAUCUUUCUUAUCCGAGUUCAUGUUUUUGAAAACUUAUCAGAAUUCUCCUGAUAUUUUUUAGUUUUUUUCUUUGAAAAGUAUUCUUGUUAUUAACUUUUGUUUAAAAGCAGACUUUUCUUUGGCCCUCAGUUCGUUUCUGUUGAAAAAUUUUCAGGUACUUAAUUGACAAGCCCCGGAUUAAACCUGUGACUGAAGAUCCAACAUGUGAUAAGAAUCGUUAUGUUAUAUUAUCUGAAAAGGUUCAAACUCCAGGUAAAGAUCUCCAUCUCCGUCCUCAUAUUUUUUCUGUUAACUAUAAGCUUGGAUUGCAAUUUCAUGUUCUUUAUGGAAACUCUUCUGUAGCACAUUCUGUUCGCUGAAGUUCCAAUUCUUGUUCAUUGAUUUUCUUCAUGUUACCUUAGUGGCUUUCUGGCUCUGUUCAUGCAUUCAAGUUCUUAAAUAGUUCUAAAAUUAUCGAGCGAGUAAUUUUUUAUCUUAAAACUUCAAUUUCUGUAGGGUAUAACCAUCAACUUGAAUGCAUCUUUAGUUAGAAAAGUGUCUAAAAACAGUCUAUAUAUCACAUGAAACCAAAUUAACGUCGUGUAACUAGGUAAUUUUCAUAAAAAUAAUCUCGUUUCCCUUUAAAAAUCACUCAUUUUUUCUCUUCCUUCUUUUUACCUUAUUUUCUCAAUGGAAUUUUCCUCGAUCAUGUCCUUAGAUGACACCAUUUUUCUAUCUUGUUGAUUCUUUGAAUGCUCAGAAUUAUCAGAAAUUCCAGAAAUGAAACUUGAAGAAUUGAAAGGCUUAUGCAUGUUUGAACGAGUUCCCUAUUCACUAACCCUUGGAUAUUCAUAUUGGGGAGCAGGUAUUUUCAAUAAUUCUUCCCUUUAUCACACAUUGUGCAAAUUUUACUUUCACCUUAGGAUUGCCUGUUGAACUCCAGAUAUUUAUAGAUGCCUUUAACUUUCGAGUUGCAAGUCUGAAGUGUUAUGUAAGGCAUAUCUAGCAUCAUUUUUAAUGAUCCCAUUCCCAUGACUCAAAAUCCAAACGUUUUUUACAUUGUGACUGCACAUGUGCUGAUAGAAUGUGGUUGUCUUUGCCUCUCAUUUGAUAUUAUAACUACAUGUGAUGUGACCGUUCUACAUCAAGCGGUUGCAAUUAUAAGAACAAUGUUCGAUUUCUGAAAGAUAGUUUAAACAAUUCUGUGAGCGAAUUUACCCGUCAUUUGAUGUGUUUGUAUUGUACAUACGUAACUAACUUACUGUGUGGUUGCUCUGUAGAUCAUAUUCUCAAGAAGAUUUUGCCUCCUGAAGUGGAAGUGCCUUCAUCUUUUGAGACAAUAGUUAAGUACUCUAACCCCUGCCAUGUUCCACCUACGCUUUCCUUUCUACAUUUUGUAUCCAUUUCCAUAUGCUCUUUAUAGCUUUUAUGUGCGUUCUUUUGUUGCUCUGUAUUACAUUUUGGUACCACUUGUUUAUGUGACAUUGGUUGUAACGUUGCUUUUUCAUGUACAACUAUUAACAUUGAGGUAAUUUUGUACUGUGAUUUGCAGGUCACGUUGCUCACCUGAAUAUACAUGACGAAUUACUUCCAUAUAAGGAUGUCAUUGCGAAGGUUAUUUAUGAUGUAUGUCAUCAGUAUCUAUUUACUUAUUUUCCUAAUUAUUUUGAAAUGUACAUUGUGAUUUAUUAAUCACUAUAAUUUAGCUGUUAGUUCAUUUUUUUAUUCUUAAUUUUGUUUUACUCUCCCCUUCUUUUCCUCCGUGCAUAUGUUGGGGGUACCUUUUUAAGAAAUUCAAAUGUUCAGAAUCGGAUAUUUAAUAUUUUUAUCCUCCCCCUUCAUCCAGCAAUAUGCACACACACACAUUUUCCAUAUUGAAACUUUUUCUGUAACUAUUUCUUUUUGUAAUCUUUGCAGAAAAAUUAUCCCAGGAUUAAAACAGUUGUAAAUAAAGUGGGUUCUAUAACAAAUGAGUUUCGGGUUCCAAAGUUUGAAAUACUGAAGGGAGAGAAUGAUAUGGUAACAGAAGUAAAGCAAUAUGGGGCGACUUUUAAGCUCGACUACAGUUUGGUCUACUGGAACUCAAGAUUGGAACAUGAACACAUAAGGCUGGUUUCACUCUUCCAACCAGGAGAGGUAAUUUGUGACAUGUUUGCUGGUAUUGGUCCUUUUGCAAUUCCAGCCGCCCAGAAAGAAUGUAUAGUAUAUGCCAAUGACUUGAAUCCAGACAGCAUCCGAUAUCUGAAGGUUAAUGCAGAAAUCAAUAAAGUUAGUGGUCGCGUUCAUGUAUAUAAUUUGGAUGCUAGAAAGUUUAUUUCUCAAUUGAUGAUAGUUCCCCCUAAUGAAAGUAAUUCAGAAUCUGUCACCUCAAUACUAAAAGCUUGUGAGAAGGGCAUUGGAGGGACCAAUCAAGAAUCACCAUUGGCAAAUGGUAUGCCGACUGGUAUUAUAUUAUUAUUAUCAUUUAAAGAAAAUUUCACAUCGUCUUCAGGAGAUUAGUGUAGAUGAUCUUAAUUUUCUUUCUUGCUUCAGUUCAGGUGCAAGAAGUUCAAGAUUAUAUUAAAAUUAGCAAUAAAUCUGUAGAACAAUCAAGGAGUGCUGAUAUAUCCGUUGCUGUUCUUAAAAGAUCCUCAGAAAGUUGUGAGAACGAGAAAGGUAACAUACUCUACCAUAGUUUGUGAUUGAACAACCAAGACCGUUUCUUCCUAUAAUUUUUUUUGCAGAUUUUUUUUAAUGAAAAUUUGCUUUGCAGACAAUGGAAUUGCUGAUGAUGCUUCCACUCGUGUAGCCGGUAGGAGAAAUGGAAACGGAAAUAAGAGGAUGAAGGGGUCCAGUGUAUCUCAUGCUAGGACCUGGGAACACGUUGAUCAUGUGAUUAUGAACCUCCCUGCUUCUGCUUUACAUUUUCUUGGUACGAAUGACCUUUUUUCUUUUUAAAUUUCAUUUCACUUAUUGCAGUUGUUUUAGCAUAUUUCUCUACAUUUGUGUGUCAGAAUGAAGAGUUAAAAGUUGGGGAAAUAACAAUGUUAGGAAAGGGAAACAAUUACUUUUUAAUGCUUCAAAUAUGAAGGGAAACCAUAAACGAUUUUUUCUCUCUUACUAUCACCAUGACAGAUAUUUUGGAUAUGUCAUAUUUCCUAAUUCCUACCUUUCAAAUGGAAUUCUUUGUUGUAAGUUUUGUAGUCACUCUCUAUACCAAUUUUAUGAGUUUCUUCAAUCUCCUUUAGCUCUUGGGUGAGGGAGAAUGCCUUAUCUCCUCCACUCAAUUAUCUCAACUCGUGUUUUUUAUCCAUAUCUAUAUUUUGCUUAGUUAACCAAUGAAGUAUAUUUUGUUAUUUUCUUGCCAGAUGCAUUUAGAGGCUCAAUUAAGAAGAAAUACUGGAAGGGCUCCCUUCCUUGGAUUCACUGUUACUGCUUCAUGCGAGCAAAUGAAAACCAAGAUUUUAUCAUUUCGGUAUGUGUAUACUAAAUUACUAUAGAUCCUUAUUUGUCUGUCUUCUUUUUGAUAAUUGUAUUUCUUUCUCACCAUUCUAUUUGGAUAUCUGUCUUGAAAAAAGUUGUCUUUCUUCUCAUACCAUCCUCUUUUAACUGUUGCACUCCAGGAGGCUGAGUCUGCCUUGAAUGCUAAUAUUCAAGACCCCAUUUUUCAUAGGGUCAGAGAUGUUGCACCAAACAAGGUAUUGCUUUGUGUGUGUGUGUAUAAAUGGAAACUACUUGUUUUUAACUCUUUUUUCUUUUUUGUUUUAUCAGGCUAUGUACUGUUUGAGCUUUAGGCUUCCGGAACAAUGCGUUGAUGAAGACACGACUAGCUAAAAUCGAGUAAAACUUUUCUAUCUCUCGGGGCUUCAUUUUCUUGUUCUCACAUCGUCAUAAUUCAUGUUUGUUUCUCAUUUCUGAGAUGUACAAGCUAGACGUAUGAUAUCGUAGGCUAGCGCUUGGGUAUUUCAGUUCUAAAGUUGAGAUUGGUGUUUGGAAAAUUUUCCAGAUUUGCUCAGUAUAAUUCAUAACUAAUCACUUGAAUUUGUAUAAAACAAAUGUCUCAUGUCCUAUGUUAUAACAAUAUCCAUUGAUAGGCGUAGUACGUACCUUGAUGAAAGUGCUUUUCUAUUCUUUAACAUCAAAAUAUGGUUAUUAAUUGAAGAUUGUAUUGUUAUCCUGUCCAAAUUAAGCAUGUUUUUAAGAUAUUUUACAUACAUGACAAUAAAAAAUAUUGUUAUCCUGUGUAGGGAUGAGAAUGAUAGACUAAAAGAUCGAGUGGACUAACAAAACUAAAGUCAGUUGAUGUCAGUUUGAAACUUUCCAAAUCGAGAAAUGUUAAAGAGUUAAACCAACCCACCGACACAUUUAUUCAUCGACGGUCUAAGGAUGGUUUGAACAUUUACUAAAUCGAUCAUAGUCAUUUCGAUGGCGGUUUGGUCAAAGAAUUGACUUCAACUGGCCGAUGAUUGCCUUUAAUUUUAUCAUUUUUAAUAUUCUUACCUUUAUAGUAAUUGUCCUAACAUUACCUAAUCGAUUGAUAAUGAAAAGUAACAAAAUGAUGAUAUGAUUGUGAUAGGACUACGUUCAAGACUUGUCAAGAUUCUAACUUAAUUGUAUGUCCAUUAUUAUUGUCACAAGAGUCGUCUCCCUUAUCAAGCAGUGGAUCUAGCCAUGACUAAACAUUAUGUUUAGUCCUUUUUUUUUUUCUUAAAUCAUAAUCACCAUCAAUGUUUGUUUGAUGGAAUAAUGAGAAAAAUGAAUAUUUGGAAAUCAGAGAAAAUGAUUUAUCAUGAUUUGGGACAAAUAAUUUUCUAUCUAAUGUUUUUGUACAAAAAUAGCUUUUAAAUUAAUCCAAGAUAUUAAAAGUACUUUUUAUUUGUUAGGAUAAGAUUACAAAAUACUUUUAUUUUUAGAAAAUAUUAUAAAAAUUGUUAAAAUCAUUCCAAAGGCUAUAAUAGACAUGCUUUAAAUUAUGUUUUUUUUCUUUUUUAAAAGUAACCAUUGUUUAAGUACUAAUUUUGUAUUUGCAAAAAAAUAAUUAUUCUAAAUUUAAUUUAUUUUGAUUCUCAUACUUUCUAUCUAUACAAAAUUUCAAAAAAUUUAAAAAAGAGUCAUUUAGUUCUUUUUUUCUUUUUAUAUUUUAGAUUUUAAUUUUAAAAAUUAUCAUUUUUUAAAGUAAAAUGUCAAAUUGAAUAAAAGUUGAAAGUAUAUUAAACAAAAUGAAUAAUUUAAAAGCACAAUGAUAAAUUAUAUAAAAAUAAAUAAAAGUACAACGUAAUAUUUAAAUUCAAGAUUAAUUUGAUUUAAAAACUAUUUUUUCACCAGGUAUUCCAAACAAAAAUAAUCAAAACAAAAUUGACAUAUUUUCUUAUUUGGUGAGUCAACUUGGGUCAACCACCUUUUUGACAACUUUUCCAUUGAGAGGAGAAGGCUUCUUUCUUGCAAGGCAACAUUUUCCCAACAACUUACCACGAAUAACAUUUAACCCAAAAGUAAUAGAAUAUAUAGUACAAUAACAAAAUAAUUAUAUAUAACAUAAAAUUAAUUUAAAAAAUAACAAAAUAAAUUAAAAUAUUUAAAUUUUGGUUGUAAAUAUUUUGUCAAAUUUGCUAUUUUUGACAAUUCUAUAAAAAAAAUCCUAGAUGUAGUUAACAAUGAUAGUAGCUAAGAACGAUAGGUUUCUUUUUUCAAAUUAAAAGUCAGUAAUAAUUUUCAAUUUAAAAAAUGUGUUAUCAGUUACUAUCAUUGAUACUACCUGUUUGUGAUAACUUCUAUCGAUAAUAAUCACUAAAGAGCAUACAUAACAUUUACUAUUUUUACAAAUAUUUUAUUUUGUACUAUAUUUUAAAUUUAUUUCUCACUAAGUUUUUCUUUUUCAUAGACUAAUAAGGCAAUACAUAAUCAAAAAAAUUAUUUAUGAUUCUUUUAAAAAGAUACCAAUCUCUUUUUUCCUUUUUAAUAAAUCCAUUCAUGUUUUUCUUUAUAUAUAUAUCAGAUUUGCACUAUUGUUUUUCUUCUUCCUCUUUUUGUAAAAAUAAUAAAGGGACGAACUUUGGGAAAGAGACCAAUUUCUAAAGCAAAGAUAGAUUAGAUGAAAACAUUACACGUAGAUUUUGGCUGGAAAGCUAUCAAUUUGGAUCAUUCUUUUUCAUUAACAUUAUUUCAUUAAAUUUCUAUUUUUUUUUUAUCUUUUCUUUAAAAAAAAUUACUUCUUUUCAAGAUUUUAUCAUCACAGUUUGCAUUAUCACCAUACAAUUUUUUUAAAAAAAUAUUAUAAUUUCAACCCAACUUGUAAAAUUAAUUUCCAAAAAUCACUUUAAAGUUCAUCCUUCAAUAUUUCAUUAUCAAAUUGGAGACCAUGUUACUAGAUAAUCAUCAAACAUGUGCUUUUUUCUUUUCAAGUUGAUAUACUUUUUUUCCCUUUAGUGAUUUCAAAUAUUUCUAACGUAAGUGCAUACUGCUAUUUAUUUAUUUUGACUAUAAUAAUAUAAUAUCAAGAUUUGUCUAGUUUGUUUUUUGAUAUAAUAUUAUACAAAACAACUAAUAUUUGUUAAAUACCAAUAACUAUGUUAGUGAUUUAUAUUUAAUAUAAUCCGAUUUUUCUAAGCCAACUCUCUUAAAGUUUGGAAAUAAAAAAUUUUUAGAUCAUAAUAAGCAAGCAAAAAAAAAAAAGUGUGAUUAUGUAAUGAAGAGUGAAUAUAUAUAUCUCUCAAAAGGAAAAAAAAAUCACACCUUUAUUUCCACGUUGUAAAGUGCUUUUUUUGGAGACCCUUUCUGUCAAAUGUGAUAUUUUUUAUAAUUAAAAGAAAUUGAAAAGUAUAUUAAAUCAAAGCUAUGUUAACCAAUGAAGAUACUCUAAAUAAUUUGAUAUUUAGAAUCAAGCAAACAAUUUAAAACUAAAAUGAAAAAGAAUUUUUAAUAAUUUAUUUUUGUUAUGUGAAAUUUGGUUGGAAUACAAAUGGGAUGAAAAUCGUCAUAAAAAAGCGUAAGAAAAAGAAAAACAUAAUUUAAUCAAACAAUUGAGGUUUUCUUGCUUUGGUAUAAUUUUUUAUCAAUAUUUUUAAAAACUAAAAAAUUAAGAUAAGAAUUGUUGAGAUAAAGUGAAAAUUAAUUUGAACAAAAUUUUUUGGUUCAAUAUUUGUAAAUGAAUAAAACUAUAUAUAUAAUACGUGUUAUUGGAGCUGUGCACACCACCAUAACUGAAUAACUGAAUUAAGUAACGAAUCUUUUAUUUUGCUUUGUGAAGCUUUCUCCCCUUUAGCUCUUCAAAAUCCUAAUAUUUCCAUUUCCAUAUCCAUACAACUCCUUUCUUGAUUCUAUCUUUGUUAAAAGAUUCAGAUUCAAAGAUUGAGAGAAACCCAUAAAAAUGUCAAGAAAUUGUAUAUUCAGAAUAUUAUUAGUUUUGUUGUGGUUGUUGAUGAUGAUUGUUCCAAAUGGUUUAAGUGUUGGAGUGAACUGGGGAACUAUGGCUACUCAUCAGCUCCCACCAGAGAAAGUUGUUAAAAUGCUUCAAGAAAAUGGGUUUCAUAAAUUGAAGCUUUUUGAAGCUGAUGAUAGGAUUUUGGAAGCACUUAUUGGAAGUGAUAUCGAGGUUAUGUUGGCUAUUCCUAAUUCAAUGUUGUUUCUUAUGAGUCAAGAUCCUCACGCUGCUGCUUCUUGGGUUGAUUCUAAUGUUACUGCUUAUACUUAUCAUGGUGGUGUCAAAAUCAAGUUGAGUUUUGAAGAUUCUUUUGAUUAAUAAUUUUGAUCUUCUUUGAUUUGUUUUUUUCUCGUUUUUUUGGUGCUCUUUAGGUGUUUGAUGAAUUUCCCACUUCAGGGUUUCUCUGUUUUUAAUAUGUUGUUCAUUCAGCUGCUGCUAUCCUGCUGAUGAUGCUGCUUUCAUUUUCUUUGUUUACUUAUUCGAAAAGCCGUUAUCACAACGUAGCUAAGAGGAUAUUUGUGAGAAAGGGUCAUAAUCACUCUCAUAUAUGUCUUAAAUGAUUUAGAAUCAAUUUAUACCAUCCAAAUUGAUUUUGAAUGAUUUAAUGCAUGCUUCGUUAUGAUUUUGAACAUGAUAAAAAGUUAAAAUUACUUAUAAAAAAUAUUCUAAACACUGUUUUUAGUUCGCUAAAAGGAAAAUUUCAGUUUUCUAAAAAGCAUGUCGGUUAAUCUUAGUGUUACUAAUUUCAAGUUAGAUCAUUUGGUCAUGUUCUUUUAUGGAUUGUAGUUACUAGUUUAAAUGAUUAAAUAUAAGCUAAACAUGAUAUUGAAAGGAUUAAAAUUAGCUAAAUAACUUUUGAGUACUCUUCAAAAAGUCAUGUUGGGUAAUCACACAGUACAGUGUCACUAUGUCACUAAACAUGAUAUUAUCAGCUGGGUUGAACUAAUUAGUUUCAUUGAUCACUUCACAAGGAAGUACUAUUUGAGUUAUAAAACUAUUGAAAAGUAAUCAAAUGCCCCUCUUAAAUAAGGGUCAUUUCUUGGAGAACCAUUCUUUUGGCUGAAAAAGUAGAGAUUUAUGAAGUUAAAAUUAGCUAAAAAAUCAUAUCGGUUCUUUGUCUUUCCCAUAAAAUUCCAUUGGAAACUGAUCUUGCAGGUAUGUUGCUGUAGGCAAUGAGCCCUUUCUCAAGUCUUACAAUGGCACUUAUCUUCCGUUAACAUUGCCUGCUCUAAGGAAUAUCCAACAAUCCCUAAAUGAUGCAGGGCUUGGUUCAAAGGUCAAAGCUACUAUUCCUUUCAAUGCUGAUAUUUACAACUCCCCCGACUCAAACCCGGUUCCAUCUGCAGGCGAGUUCCGUCCUGACGUUCGAGACUUAACGAUCGAGAUUCUACACUACCUAUCGAUAAACAACGCACCAUUCACAGUCAAUAUCUACCCCUUCCUUUCCCUAUAUGGAAAUGACUACUUUCCAAUAGACUUCGCAUUUUUUGAUGGAACAGCAUAUAGGCCAAUCAAAGACAGAGAUCUAACGUACACGAAUGUGUUUGAUGCAAAUUUCGACACACUCGUAUCAGCUCUAGCAAAAGCAGGAUACCCUGAUAUGAAGAUCAUCGUAGGAGAAGUUGGUUGGCCAACAGACGGCGACAAACACGCCAAUGUACAAAACGCAAAACGAUUCAACCAAGGAUUGUUAAGACAUGCUUUAAGUGGACAGGGAACUCCAGCAAGGGUAGGCAUAAUUGAUGUCUAUCUUUUCAGUCUAAUUGAUGAAAAUGCUAAAAGUAUAGAACCAGGGAGCUUUGAAAGGCAUUGGGGAAUAUUCGAAUUUGACGGUAAACCGAAAUAUGAACUAGACUUGGCUGGAACAGAAGAAGAAAAAGGGUUAAUACCAGUUGAAGGAGUGAGAUAUAUGGGGAAAAGAUGGUGUGUUUUGAAUCCAAAUGUGAAUGAUUGGGAAGGUUUGGCUGAUAGUGUAGACUAUGCUUGUAGUUUAUCAGAUUGUACUGCAUUGGAAUAUGGAUCUUCUUGCAAUCAAUUAUCUGCACAAGGAAAUGCUUCUUAUGCAUUUAAUAUGUACUAUCAAGUGAACAGCCAAAAGAGUUGGAACUGUGAUUUUGAUGGUUUGGCUGUGGUGACUCAACAAGAUCCUUCUUAUGGAAACUGCCAGUUCCCAAUUAUGAUUGAUUAUACCUCUUCUUCUUCUUCUUCUUCUUCAUUUCUGGUUUAUGAAAGAUUUUCUGAUCUUCUUGUUGCAGUUUUUAUGGGAAUUGUAGUGUUUUUUAUUGUGCAAUAUGAACAGUGAUGGAUUUUGGUAAUGAUUUUUGUGAGGAAUUAGUUAAGAUCAUUUGGAAGUUGUUCAUAGUUUUCUUAUUUGCCAUAUAGCCUCUCAUGUAUAAUAGAUUCAAAUUUUGGUUUCUUUUUUAUUUCACCCUUUAUUUUGCUUCUUUUAAUAAAUAAAUAUAUUUUGGACAAUGCUCGUAAUUUCUUUUUCUGCCUUAUAUCUUUACAUAAUUAUUUGAAGCGCGCGCUAAGUUGAGUUAAUAUGAUGAAAUUAAAAAAAAAACGACAUUUCAUGAUAGAUGUGCAAAUUUUAAUAGAAAACACCCUCAAAAUUUAGUAAUGUAACACCAGCUUAUGGAGAGAGUGGGUUUAUAAAAUUUAAAUUCACGUGAUUUUAACUUAUAACAAAAAUUCACGGGAUAUUGAGAUAUUUUAAGUCAAAAGUCAUGGAUUUUUCAUUUUAUGAAGAUACGUUUCAUGUUUAUUAUUUAUAUUAGAUUUAUAUAUGUGACAUUUUCUUGUUUAUUUUUUUAAUUUUUCUAAACUUUUUUCAUGUUAUAACGAUAAUAUUAAUUCAUCCCUCGUACCAUAUCAAACUCAUAAAAGCAUGAAAGUUCUGGCACAUAUAUGAAAAUUUAAUACAACAAACAAAACAAAUAGAAUUGUUAGACUAAAAUUAAACUUAAAGUUAGUUCAACUUUACAAGUCAAAAUAUAAGAGUAAUUAAUAAAUGAAAGAUUGUAGUCAAUUGCAAAACCACCAUUUAAAGAAAUUAUGCCCACAUACUUACCCAUAGGCAUUUCAAUAAGUAAACUCCCAAAAUAAGAAAGAAAAAUAAAUUCCUAUUUUCAUCGACUUUUUUUCAAUAUAUAUAUGAUUUAUAUAAUUUAAUUAAUUUAAACCGUCAUAGCUGUUGUAUUGGUUUGCCUUCAAUGCACACAAAUAAAAGGUUCAUUAUGGAACAUGUCACCUCCAAAUUCACAUUUAUAAUAUAUGGUCUCAAACUUAGAUAUAUGGCCAAUAAUAUUUAUGGUGCCGAACUCUUAGAUUUACAAAAUAUGAUACAUUUAAUACUACUCAUCUCCAUCCGUUCCAAACAUAUAACAUUAGUCAUUAACAAUUGAUAGAUAUAUGACUUUCUUAUAGAAUUUUUGAAUAUUUAAAUCUUGUCCGUUGUAUCUGGAACGUUAAAACUAAUUUCUUAGAUAAAAUUUUUUAGUGAAUUUUAUCUAAUCAUUAUUAUUGGUUAAUUUGUAAAGAAUAACAUAUUAAUUAUAUAUGAUUAAGAAACUGAAAGUUGAGCCCAUUGGUUAUUUAUCUUUAAUUUAUUGGUUAAAGAAUAUUAUUAUCACUUGUUUUCAAAUAUAGCUAAACGAGAUUAAUUAUUUACUUAAUUUGUUUUCGGUAGUUUUAUUAUUUAAAAUAAUUUUGAUAUUAAUUUUGCUAUUAUAUGGUUUAUGGUUGAAAAGUUGAACAAGAUAUAAGAGGCUCAUAUUCACAUGUCUCAAAAGAGGAGUUAUUAAUGAAUCUGUCAUCUAAUCUUUUUCUUGGUUUUCUUUAUAUAUACUUGAUUUAAGAAAAUUAAAAAGAGUAUAUAACCAAAGUUGGUUGGUCUUUUUUUUUUUCAUUUUUUGGAAUAGAAAAGUUGAUGAAAGUUUAAAUCACCGUUACUAUGGUUAAAUUUCUACGGUGGAUUAAAAAUAAUAAUCUUUUAUCAACCAACUACGUGUAUAUGACUAUCGUUUAGAGGUCAUGAAUUUGAAUCACAUAAUCUUACAAGCUAAAAGAAUAGUUGUCUUCCUGUUAAUCGUAGAACAAUACGUGUUUUGAUAUGCACUUUCAUAGUAAAAAAAAAAAAAAUCAUUGUGACUAAAAGAUGAGGUAUUAAUUAAUGUUUAAUAUCUGACGAAGAAACCCACCUAACCUUCAAAUACGAUCAACGUGAGUGAAUUUGUAAUUUAAGAGGUCACUAAGAAAAAUAGUUUUAAUUAUAUAUACAAUAAAGCUAAACUUACGGUUCCCUUUAUCCCUAUAGAAAUAGGACUUGAGAAGCCUUGAUCGAACAUGAACAAGGGGAACAAACUAGGGCAAACUGGCGAUUUGCCUUAAGGGGCAAAUUGGUCGGCCUUGGUCGAGGUUGAAGAUGGACUUUUUAAGCUUAGAUCGGUCUAAUUAGUACUUCAUUCACUCUCCAACAACGUCGUUGCAUGAACUCGUUUCUUGUCCGUCUUUCGUUCAUCUUAGAUAAGACAACUUUCUUGACUUUACUCUUAAAUUUUAUCUUCUAAUCUCUUGAUCUUUCUCAUAAAUUCGAAAUUAUCAUCAAAUAAUAUUCGCCACGGUAAUUAACAUAUUUGUAUUUUUUUUUCCAAAAUGAUAUUGAUAACAAUAACACAUUUACAACACACCAAAUUAUUUAGCUUAAUUAGUCAUGACUCCUCUUUUUUUUUUAAUUUUAAUGAGUAUAAAGAAAAAAAUUCCAUACCUAGCUAAACCCUAAAAUAAUUAAUUAUGAUAGUCUUCUUAAAUGUAAUGUAAUCUAUAUGAUCUAAAUUAGUCAACAUAUAUGUUGUUUCUUUUAUUAGGAUUCCAUUUUUGUUAUCUUCGUCUUUUGUUUUCUCUAUGGUUAUAGAACUACUUUAGAGUUUGGCUUUUUUCUUCUUUUGAAAACAAUAUUAUUAGUUUUAAUUUCUAACAUCUAUACCUACUUGUAAAAAAAAAAUUACAUCAGACGUUAAAAACAUUGAAAAAAAAAAAUAGUCAAUAGCACAUUUUUUUAUAUAUAUUGCAAAGCAAAUAUGACAAGUAAUGAAGUGAUACUCAUUAUCAAAUAGCUAUUAGAAGGUUGUCGACUUUUCAAUUUACUACUUUUGCAAUUUAUACGGCGUAGUGAUAAUUAUUAUAAAUUAUUUUACUAUUUUUGUAAGCACUAAACCUAGACAUUGCAAAAUUGAAAAAAAAAAAACCUUUCUCAUAUUUUAUAAAUAUUUUUAGUACAAUAAGUUUUGUAAUUUAUAAUUUUAUUUUUGAAAUUUUGCUUACAUUUUAAAUUUGCUUCUUUUUAGGGUGGUGAAAUAUACAUACUUAUAUAAAAUGUGUGCAAAAGAAGAAAUAGUUAUUAAAUGUAAUGCGAAUAUAUUUUGUUUAUAAUCGAUAAAAGUUAAUAAACAUUUAAUUCAAAUUAACAUCUAGUAAGCAAAUCCACGUCAAUAUUUUCAAAAUUUUAUUGUUGGAAUUUUCAUAAAUGACAAAAAGUUUCUGAAAAAAUAAACCACAGUAAACUAACCAUAAAUACUAAAUUUAAGAUUUAUGGAUGCAAAUAUAUAGACCAAAAUUAAACUAAAGUUCUAAAAGUAAAUUAAAACGUGAUAUAAUAAUUUUAACUUAAUAAAAGCUAUUGGUUACAACUACUUACAAGUUACAACCAUCUAUGUUCACAUACAUCAUUAAUUGGUAAAUGGAAGGAAAUAAUAUAAAAUAUAUAUGAUCCAAUUUGAUUCGUAUGGUUCUUUUUUACAAAAAUACGAAAAAAGAGAAAAGAAAAUUUAUAAAAAAUAAAGCAUUUGACAAAAAUAUUAUGAAUUUUAUCUUUUAGUGAUUUUGUGACGUGAAAGGUAAAUAGUUUGUGAAUUUUUUUGUUUUUUUUUUAAUUUCAAUAAAAAAUAUGAAUAAUUAGAUAUUUGAUAUUUUGAAUAAAAUAUUAUUACUAGACAACCUAUUUAAAUAUUGGAUCUCUCGAUUGCUAAUAUAUGUUAUAUGUCGGUUGAGUCAUGAUCGAUUUACACAAAUAUAAAAACUUUAAAAGGUAUAAAGAUCAACAACUAUAUAUUUAUAUAUAAUUUAGAUACACAUUCUUACACUGCAUUAAUAUUUUACUAUAGUUAGGUUAUUGUUACUUUUAAGAGAAUAUGUCAAGCUAAUGGUAUAUUUAAUUUGGUUUAAUGGAAAUUUAGUCAAAGAGACCUUGAAAUUUUAUCUAACAUCACAAAUAUAAUUUGAUUUUCGUUAUAUAUAUGUAUAUAUAUAUAUACACACACUUGUAUACUAUAAACUAAACAAAUUAAUAGAUUGUUUACAAUUAACAAAUUUAUUGAUUUGAAAAAAACAUAUUGUUUACAGAAUUUAGGUUGGUGGAUACAACUCUUUGCCAUAUUAAACAAAUAAUUUCUAUAAUACAAAAUUAUUCAGACUCGACACAACUCUUUGUAAUAUUAAACAAUAAUUAAUUCCACAUUUAAUAUUGAGAUUUAUAAUUGACGUCAAUUCUAUAAAUUAAAAAUAUAUUUUACUUUUAGUAUGAAAAAGUUUGAACAAAAUAAUAUUUAAUUAGUUUUGUUUUGUUGGGACUAGUCUUAAUAAGUGUUAUAGGGGUCCAUUUCCAAUAUAUUCAAGAGUGAUGGUGCAUAAAUAAUUAUGAGUUAUGGAUAAAAAUUUGAAUGCAUGUAUUAUCGUUUAUUUUAUGGAUAUCCUUCAAUAAACAUUUUUUUUAAUUUAUUUAUUUACGAUCGAUUAUAUUAUUAUUUCAAAUAAUAAUUGAUUAAUGGGUCGAUAUUGUUGAUUGUUACUAAUUUUAUUAUCAAGAAUAAUUAAUUUUGCUUCAUAAAAUUUAAAAUUUAAGCUUGUUCAAAUAAUAAAUUCAUCAAUUUUGUCUAUUUAGUUAAAAAAAAACAGUUUGUUGAUAAAAGUGUUUAAAAUAUGAAAAGUGAUUAAAUUCAUGUUUGAAUUUUGGACGAUUAUAAUCCACAUUUAAUUCUUAUUAUGAAAACUAUUAAUGGGAGGUUGAAAUUAUGUUUCUAUUACAUUGCCAGGUGUAAUGUAGAAAAUGAAUUGGAUGAUAAUAAAUAAUAUGAUUGCUUUAACUAAUCUAGAAAAUAAUGUGAUGGACAAAAUUGAAAGAAAAGUUAUAUCGAACUGAUGUAAAGGUCAAACUAUCCACUUCCAUUUCAUACAUCUAGAAAACUAUGUAAAAUAAAGUAAUAAUGUAGAGAACACAAAGAUAAGAAUUAAAUAUAUAUAUAUAUCAAUGAAAAUAUUAUAUAAAGUUUUAAAUUUUAUUAGACAACGUCCUUGUUUUAAUCUUGUAACACUUUAAAAGUAACGAAACAUUAAACCUAUUUACAAACUAUAUCAAAAUUCAUCAAUUUCAAAUAAUUUUUUUUUUCUAUUUAUAACAAAUUCUUAAAAGAUUUAAGACUUUUAUCCAUAUUUUUUAUUCAUCAGAUUUCAAUUUCAUUAUAAAAAUAUUUGAAUUUAUAGUUAAACUAUGAUUUUAUGUGUGAAAAUAAACAUAAGCUCGAUUCAUGGCGACUACCUAUCUAAUAAUUAAUUUCCUAUAAAUUUUAUUGACACCAAAUGUUAGAGGAUUAGGCGAAAACAUUUAACAAAUAUAGUAUUUUAUGUCAUAAACAAACUAAAAAAUGAAAUAUACAAUAGACUAUAAUUUGUUUUCUCAAAUAAAAAUAUACUAUAAAUAAUGUGAUCAUAUUAUAAUUUUAAAAAAUAAAUUAUGUAAUAUUUUUUUUGAAGGCGUAUAUGUAUUAAACACCAUAAAGAAACCACGCAGUCGGAGAUCAAGGCACAAAGCAAAGUUCCCUAUGAUAAGAAACGAUGAUGUCCUAAACACAAUCAAAUCAUACAGGAAAAAUCGAUGCAACCAAAGCAAAUACAAAAGAGAAUACAACUAAAGCUACUUGCAAUAUUUUUAAACCACAAUAAAAAAUCGCAGAAUUAUAGAAGCAUAACAAGUCACUCCGGUCGAUUGUGCUAUUACGAUAAAAUAAAUAGCAAGAGACCACAACACACACUCCUAACAAACUACUCUAUGAGAACCUGACGGUUGAAAGCACACUAAAAGAACAUCGAACAAACGGGUUGUUCCGAUGCAACUGUUCCGUAAGCUCAAAUUAAUUAAGGAUUAGUUUAUAUUUGUAAUUACAUUAGUUAGAGAACAUAUAUUUAAAAAAUAGAAUACAAUUAAAUCCUUGUAUUUUAAAAUUGUUUUCUUUUUUUUCUUUUGCUAAAGAAACCGAACUUGCCAACGAUAAAUGCGAGCAAUAAUAAUAAAGGAAGGUGGUGGAUACGGGAGAGAAGGUUGAAAGAAAAGGACGAGGGAGGGGCAAAAGAGUAAAUAACAGAAGAACUGUGGUUGAAUUUGGAAAUUUGAAAGAAAGGGCGGGACCGGGACAGGUGGUUGCUAUAUAUCUCGUUGAGGGGCCUGGGAUCUCUCAUUCGCAUACACACACCUCUUUCUAUCUCUUUCUCUCUCGUGUAUCGUUUCCUCCUUUUUAUUUUUUUGGCUUUUCAAACGAAAAUCGGGGCUCCUUAAAAGAGGGAAAAACAAGAUCGCAAACCCUAAAAAUCGACUAACAACAAGGGUUUGUUGAUCCCCUAAUGAAGCACUAGCCAUUUUUCCUGCAUUUUUCUUCAUCUGUUGCUGCUCUAGAUUUGGAUUCUCCUACUACAAUUAUCAAUCCUGUUGUUUUCAGUUUCACCAUUUUCAAAAGCCUUCUUCAAGGUUUGCAUUCAAUGUUCUUUCCUGGUAUUCUCGUUUUAGAUUGCUGUUUUUAUGUUGUUGAGAAUGUGAGAGAUGUGUAGUGUUCAUUUUUGUUUGGAGAAUUGGAACUCGAUAUAUUCUGGAAAUUUGAUUUUGUCGUGAGAUUUUUGGGUUUUUAGUUGAACUCGUUCCAUUUCGUUUCGUUGUUCUGGAAACUCUUUGUUUGUUCUCGAUGUUUCACUUUGCGAUUCUCGUAUGGUUUUGAUUUAUAGGUAUUUUAAAUUUCAUGUGUUUGUUCUUUCUAGUAGUUUUGUGUACUAUUCUUUGACUUCGGAAUGGUUUUUUAUCUUCUUCUUUGGUCAAGUAGUGGGGUGGGACAGAGUAGAUGUAUAAAUUGAAGGCACGGUUCUUUUAGGUAGUCUGGUUGCUGUUGGUUAUUAUUAUUAUUAUUUUUUUUGGAGUCUUCAGUCAUAAGGAACUUUAAUUAUUCGGUCUAGGACUUUGCUACAGUUCAAUCGUGUUGUUUUCAAUUCAUUUCUGAUUAGAUGCUGAUCUCAUUUGAUUUGUUUUCUUAUAUUCCAAUACAGAUGAAUAAUCUGCAAUUUGGUUCUUGUUGUUUUUUAUAUUUCAUUUAUUAGCAGCAAAGCUUGUGUUCAAGUUAUUUAUUGAUAUACAGUAUACUGAAGUGUUUGAUUUUGUUGUUUGAAGUUCAUCAUGGUAGCAACUGCUGCUACAUCUGCGUUUUAUCCUGUUCCUUCUUCAUCUUCUGAGUUUGGAGCAAAGAACAACAAAAUUGGAGGUGGAUCUGGGAAUUUGGGAGGGAUCAAGUCUAAAUCUGUGCCUUCUGGAAGUCUUCAGGUGAAGACUAAUGCCCAAGCCCCUUCCAAAGUAAAUGGAAGCUCAACUGGUUUAUCAACAUCUGUAGGUGGUAAGGGUGGGGAUGACUUCUCAUCAUCCCACCCACGAACUUUUAUUAAUCAGCUGCCUGACUGGAGCAUGCUUCUUGCUGCUAUUACCACUAUCUUUUUAGCAGCUGAGAAGCAAUGGAUGAUGCUUGACUGGAAACCUAGGCGGCCCGACAUGCUCAUAGAUCCAUUUGGUUUGGGAAGGAUUGUUCAGGACGGCCUUGUGUUUACCCAGAACUUCUCUAUUAGAUCCUAUGAAAUAGGUGCUGAUCGUACUGCGUCUAUAGAAACUUUAAUGAAUCAUUUACAGGUACAAUUGGAUUGAUGUAUUCUUAUGUUUUUGUGAGUAUCUAUUAUUUGUAAUUCUAUGUAUGCUUAUGAAAUGGAGAUAAGUAACUCCGGUCUAUGAUUUUUUUUUCUUCAGGAAACUGCCCUCAAUCACGUUAAGACUGCUGGUCUACUUGGUGAUGGAUUUGGUUCUACGCCAGAAAUGUGCAAAAAGAACCUGAUAUGGGUAGUUACCAAGAUGCAGAUUAUGGUAGACCGUUACCCUACUUGGUAAAUUUAAGUUCUUCCAUGAAGUAUUCGCUUCUAAAGAUGGAUUCAUUAUAACACUUGUGAUUUACUUGGGUGGGUGAGAACAGAAUUGAAUUUAAUUCAAUAGUUUUCCUUGUUUGUUUUAUCCCCUUAAGUUACAUAUCCAGUAUUGCCCUGUUCCUUGGGAUUAUUUAACAUAUUCACCUCACUUUCACCUUCCAAAAAUAAUUGAUUAUGGAAACGUUGGACUUUCUAGACCAAUAAGUCUAUGAAGUGGGCUUUGAUUUACACUUUUUUUUUAUAAGGUGGAAGUUUUUGAAGCCUCCCUCUGUCUUUUCUGCUUUAGCUGAUCUCUUCUUCCGUCUUUUAUUAACUAUAUGCAUGAGAUAUUGGAGAUUGUUGUGCUUACAGGGGUGAUACGGUUCAAGUAGACACUUGGGUCAGUGCUUCUGGAAAGAAUGGCAUGCGCCGUGAUUGGCUCGUGUAUGAUUGCAAAACUAGGGAAACUUUGACAAGAGCUUCCAGGUUUGUUACUUUCCCCCUUUUUGAUGAAACAUGGAAUCGUUUUUCUUCAUAGCUGUUGCAUUUUCUUUUUUCUCAACCCAUGAAUUAUAAAGUUAACCAGCUUUGAUUGAAUCGAUAAUCGAGUAAUUCUGGUCAUAGGUGAUGUAGGUUCUUGUAUAAGUUAUGAAUUUCUAAUGUGUGUUCCGUAGAGAACAGAAACAAAAUUUGCAUAAACUACAUUCACUUUUUUUUCAAUCUUAAUUCUAAUUGAUCUUUGCAUUGAGAUCGUGGAUUAUGAUUGCAUUCUUUUUUUCUACUAUCAAGCCAUGGCAUAUGUAGUGAUCAAAUCAUAGUUUACUGAUAGAGAUAUAUUUUUUGUGAUGUGAAGUAUCUGGGUUAUGAUGAAUAAAGAGACAAGAAAGCUGUCAAAGAUUCCUGAGGAAGUGAGGAGAGAAAUAGAGCCAUUCUUUAUGAAUACUGCGCCGGUUAUUGAAGAUGAUGGAAGGAGGCUUCCAAAAAUUGAUGAUGAUAAAGCUGAUUAUGUUCGAGCGGGUUUGACUGUAAGUUGUUUCAUUUAGCUAAAAUGUUACUUGAGAAAAGGAAGUUGGCACUGGGUGUUUUUGUGUUUCAUUUGGAAUUUGGUUCAAUAAUAUAACUUUCACUAUGCUUUUGUACAUAGAAAUUGAUCUCAUGGCACCUACAUUUCUGUACUGCAGCCUAAAUGGAGUGAUUUAGAUGUCAACCAGCAUGUGAACAAUGUGAAGUACAUUGGCUGGAUUCUUGAGGUAGAUAAAUCUUAACUUUUCUUAUCAUUGACUUCGAUACUUUCCGAAAAUAGUGUGCCCCAAAAUUUUCUUAUCUCGCACUCAUACAUUUCUCCAACAUUUUACACCGUAACUGUUCUUCUAAAGCUUGGUUUCCUCUUUUUGAUCGGCAAAUUAUGCUUGUGGUCAAUAGAGUGCCCCACCACCGAUAUUAGAGAGUCAUGAACUUUCUUCCAUCAAUUUGGAGUAUCGGAGGGAAUGUGGGAGGGACAGUGUCCUGCAGUCACUCACUGCAGUUACUGGCACGGAUGUUGGAACUUUAGCAACUUCUGGCGAUGUUGACUGCAAUCACCUACUUCGGUUCGAGAAUGGGGCUGAGAUUGUGAGAGGAAGAACAGAGUGGAGACCCAAAUUGGGCAACAAUUUUAGGAUCCUGGAUCAUAUUUCAGCUGAUCAAGGAAUUUAAGCUGCCAUCUCAGAGGAGUGUUCCUGCUGUAUCCAUGGUUUGCACCAAAUUCUGCUUUAAAUCCUCAGAUAUAUAUGUCUAUAAAUAUGGUUUUUCUCAUUCGUUCUCUUCUAUAAACAGGAAAAGAAAAAGGAAAAAAAAAAGGUUUAAUUUCAUUGUAAUUAUCUCUUAUCUAUUAUUUUUCCCUCUUGUCCCCAGAAGGCUACUAUAUAAUGUGUUUAUCUUGCUCAGCCUGGUCGGUUGCUAUGCAAUCAAUGUGUACCCACCGCUGGCUGAUUGUCUCACAGCAGGUUCGAAAAUAUUUUUGUGUAUAUUUUCUUGCAUUUUCUUUAAUUUUUGUUUGGAACUGGAAAAAAAAAAAGAGAGAUUUUUUCCCCAUUUUUUUGCCCUCGAAUUGUCGCUCUUCUGCACUCACUUUGCUUUGAGCAGAUUGGAAAAUAUUCAUAACUUGUGUUUGAAAUUGGUUGGAAAAAGAAAAAAAGAACCCAGGGGUGAUACUUGUAUGUUUUCUUGCUGUUUCUUUGACUUCUCUUUGGCAUUUUUAAAUACCAUUUUUCUCUCCCAGGAGUUCGAAUUAUCCAAUUUUUUAUGUGUGGAAAAAGCUGGGGUGUCUAGAUUUUCGUCCCAGAAUUAUUUACUUUUGUGGUAGUGGAAUUUGGUAAAAACUAAAAAGUGGCAUUUAUUAGUCUUUUAAUGCUAGCUGGGUCACAGUUAUUGUUUGUUUUGAUUUGAUGGCAAUUACUAAAGCUCAAUUAUUGCACAAAAUUUAUGCCCAUCUCAGUUGGUUAAAAAGCUGGAUGAGUGAAGUGGUGGCUUUUAUAUUAUUAUUAUUUGAAAUUGAUAUUGCAAUUUUCGUGCCUUUAUAAAAGAAUUCUUUGACUUUGACAAAAUAGUUUCAAGAAUUGGACAUUGUGAUUUUUGGCCAUUGAGAUGAAGUUCUCUAUUAAUUGUCUUCUUUAAUAAUAUAAAGUUUUGUUUAAAAAACAUUAUAUAUAUACAUAUAUUUCUUAAAUUAAAAGGUGGCUUUAUAAUUGGAUUUUUUUUUUGUCGUCAUUAUUAUUCUUUGGAUACUAUAAUCUUACUAUAGAGGUGAUUUCUAGUCUCCGUAGUUAAUUCUUUAAAAGAUAUAAUUAUUGGAGUGGGACAGAAGUUGGAUGAACACGUUCUAAUUAAAAAGUUUUGUUUGAUUUUAUAAAAAAAGUGUCUAGUUAUUGGGAUGGUUCUUAAAUUGUAAACUUGAAAAUAAUUAUCCAACAAAAGUGGUAAGGAUAUUGAGUUUGCUUAAUUAAAUAAUAACCUCCAUAGUCCCAUUUUUACCUAAAUGCGAAACUAGCUAAAUAUUACAUAAUAAAGUUAAUGUGGAAAGUAGAAUUUCUUCAACUUUUAACUGCGAACAAUGAUCGGAAAGACUAUUCUCAUGUGAAAUGACCUAAUUCUAGGGAAGUCUCGAAGUUUUGAUGCAAUGUUCUUCUAAAUCACUAGUCGACCAAUCAAGGUUGUAGGAGUUCUCAGGGUGAUGAUUUAAUUUUCAUUGGUUUUUCUGGAGUUGGGUCCUUUCGCGUUAACAGCUUCAUGAUUGGAGAAAAAAAAUAAACUUAUUUGCCUCACCUUGAGGUAAAUACGUUUGAGUUGAUAUAGUGGAGGCCUCUGUCUCACCACUAGUUUUUAGAAACCCAAAGUAUUUGAAACUUACUAUUAAAUUGAAGCCCAACUAAAAGUAUACAAAAAUUGUGUACAUAUUUAUAUAUAAAAUUAAUACAUAAUGUAAGAAGGGUCCAAUAAUGAGAAACAUCAAAAGUGUAUCUCCAUGUGCAAAAAGGCAAGAAAUGAAACUGCCCAUCUGCUGCUCAGUGUGAACUAGGAAGUUAUUAGUCAGAUUGGAUGAGUUUGAAUGCAUUACCUCCGUUUUCUUCAAAAAAGAAAAGAAAAAGAAAAGAAAACCCUUUUUUUAAAAAAAAAUUAUUAUCUCUAUUUUCAUUUCCCAUUAAGAAUUUAUUUCUAAAAAAAUUGAUACAAACCUUAAUAAAAGUAACAAAUAUCAACAUGUCUUCGGGACGAUUCGUACAUUGGUGAUAAACUUCUAUUAUUGUAUCAUUGAUAGACUCGUUUUAUAUGUUAAUAUUUUGAAUUUAAUAACUAUACAUGACAAUUGCACCACUAAUUAAUGAUUUUAUUUUUCUUUUUAAUAAUGUAGGAGCAGGAGAUGAAAUCUUAAACAUCAAGAUUAAGAAUGUUAAAGCUAUAUUCAUGUCAUUUGUUAUAGCUUAGUAGAUUAAUUAUGGAUAUCUAAUUAUCAAAAGAAAUAGGAGUGAAUAAUAUCGUCAAAACCACCCACAACUCUAUGUAAUAAUAAUAUUUUCUUAAAAAGAAGCCUAUGGUAUAGUUAAUUACAUUAAGAAGUAAACAUAGCAAACAUAUAUAUGCUUAUUUUUACAAAUAUAUGUAUGGAUGUAUGAGCUUUUCUUCUUCUUCUUCUUUAAAUUUGUGUGUGUUUUCAAUUAAAAAUUUAAAUGUUAUUAAAUAUGUAUUUAAAUGAGAUUAUGAUAUGAAGAUAGAAAUGAGAUCUAAAUGGCCCAUCACAUGAUGGUUUUGGAAGUACUUUUUUUCUAAAUUAAAAUAUAAAGUGCAAAAUGGGAAAAGUGGACUUGUCUUUGUUAAAAAAAAAAAAUUUAAUUAAAUUUACUGUUGAUGAUGAAAUGUCAAUUGAAUCUCUCUUUUUUGACCUUAAAUAAUAUGGGAAUGGGAAGUGUACGAGUCCUUAUCAAUUAAAAGGAAAAUAAAUAAAAUUAUUAUUUUAGAAAGAAAAAAAAAGAUUGAAUUGUGUAAAAUCCAAAACAACUUUGUAAAAGCAAAAUGGUCAAAUUAAGAUUGUACAUUGCAUUAAAACUUUGGUCUAAAUCCAAUGGAAUCCUAGGGCUUCAUUCUACCCUAACUUCCUUUUUUCUUUUUAAAUAAUUAUAACAGAAAAUAAUUUUAGAAAUAAUAACGAAGUAUAUAACAACAUUUUUUUAAAAAAUUAUAAAUAUAUCAAAGUCUAUCCGUGAUAGACGUUUAUCACCUUAUAAGUGAUAAACCAAUAUUUGCAUGUAAUAUGAUCUAUUAACGAUCAACUUUAAUAGAUUUUGUUAUAUUUGUAAUAUUAUUUUUAAAAUGUUGCUAUAUAGUUAAUUAUUUUAAAUCUAAUGACUAUAUUUGUAACUCUAUCAUUUUUUUUUUUUUUGGUGUAACUUGUUUUUUGGUUUAAGUUUUACUUUCACCGUUGGAAUUUAGUUAGAUAUAGACAUUUGAAGAGUUUUCUUCAAUCCAAAAGAAUGGAUGAUUAAUGUAGAAGAAUUAAAAGAUGUACGUGAAAUUAUUUAGAUAAAUUGUCGAGACAAUUGAUGCAUAAAAUUGAUUAUGUAAAUGAUUUUAUCGAUAUAUAUUUUUAGAUGAAUUGAUCACUUAAAGUAUAACAAAAUCCAAACGUGAGUAUAAAUUAAUACGAGUAUGAUUUAAUACACUUACGAUUUUAAUUGAUACAACCUUUAGGUUGAAGGACACUAGACUUGUAAGUUUUAUUAUUUUAUAUUUAUAUGAAAUAAGUUUUUUUAAAGUAUAAAGGUGAGCAUCGAUCGAUUAGAGUCCGUUUUUCUUUAUAAUCAGAGUCUUUAAAAAAAUUUAAACCGAUAUAGAUCGAACCAUUUCUCCCUCACCGAUUGACUAUCUUCGAUUCGGUUGACAUAGUUGUUCAAUCUAUCGUAUUUACUCCUCGAGAGAACGUUAAACGGAAGAAAAACGUGGGGGGAAAGGAGUAUUUGUUAAGUUGGGCAACAGAAAAUGGUACGUUAUAGUGAAGAAUACAAAGUAUAUGAAAAACCGUGUGCUUCACUGCUGAUCACAACUAAACUGCUUUUGCAGUAAACUCACUUUGGCUUCGUAUGGAGACCCACAUCACUCUCUCUCUCUCUUUUCUUUUGCUUUCAGUGCUAAUAACUCACAUUCCUCCAAUCACAACUUGCCACGUUUACACCCUCCACGUGUCCUUUCCUUCCAUAUCUCUCUUUUCGGAUUCUCGACAUAUAUGGACAAAUCGUAAAAGUGUUCGAAAUUAUUUACAAACACAAUAAAAUUUUAUAGUACAUAAAAUGAUAAAUUUCUGUAAGUGUUCGUUCGAUCUCACCGGUAGAAAUCUAGUCUAUUUUUGAAUUUUUGUUAUAUUUAUAAAUAGUUUAAUUUAUUUUACCAUAUCUAAAAACAAACCCUAACGAAAGUUAUUCUUAAAUUACAUGAGGAUUUAGUACUUAUCAACAUAAUUUUACUGAAAGUAUUUAUUAAAUGUAUUAUAUUAUUAUGAAAACUAAGGGACGAAAACGAAAAUUUUAUUUUAAAAGUAUGUCACGUGUUAAAUUGUGGUUAUACGAAAUAGAGAUGUGUUAUCUAAAUAUUUUUCGUUAAUUAAUAAGUUUAAAUUCAUAUAAAAAUAGAGAUGAUUGAUAAUGCGAAUAGGAUGAAAAAUACAAUAAAUUGUAUAGUUAUUCAAAACACGUUAAUAUAGUCGUGAUUCAAACUCGAACAUAUAUAUCUCAAUUCAUGGUAAAAAUAAUUAAAGAUGUAAAUUUUUUUUAACUUAAUAAAGAAAUAUAAAAUACAACAACAUAUACUUGAAUGAUUCUCUCAUAAAACAAGAAUUGGAAGUAUUAAAUCAUAAUCAAUUAGAGUGUGAAUUUAAUGUUUGGAAGUUAUUGAUUGUCUGAUUCUAAGUUUAUAAUUGUUAGUGGUUGAGAUGUAAUAACUCAAAUAUUAUUAUCAUUAUUUUGUCUUUAAGACUUUGCAUGCAUUGACAUGUUUCAUAAAUUCCAUGAUUUAUUACAUAUAAUUGUAUUCACAUAUUAUACAAAUAUUCUUGAAAAUGGAUGGAUAUUUGAAUGAAAUGUAUUAUAUUAUAAUUUGUACAAUACGUAUAAAAUUAGGUAAGUAUAGUUAUCGAUCACUAAAAAAAAGAGAGUAGAAUCUCAUUGAUGAACUACCACUUAUUUCGUUUCCGUGAUAAACAACUCAUUGGGGUCCUACUCAUAUGUUGAGUGCCUUAAGAGGAAAAAUGAUAACAUUUUUCAAAUACAAAAAAUUGUUCAUUUACCCUACUCUUUUCAUGUUAUAUAUGUUGGGUUUUGAUAUGGAAAUUUAGUGUGGUAUUGGUUUAUUCCAUUGCCAUUUUGAUGGGUUGGUGAUUGAAAAGAAAAAAAAAGAUGGUGGACCCUAAUGAAAAAUAAAGAAGAAAAUGCUUGGGGGGGCACUAUGUCAAGAAAACAAAGAGAGGAUAUGGUCAUUCACUCUUGUUUGUUUGAGUUAUGUUCCUUAGAAGUUUCCCCUAUGUCAUUUCACACCAUAUUUUCUUUACCUUUUUCUCCCUUCAUUCUCGACUCUUCUGAGUCACAUGAUUUAUCGUUAAAAAUGUUCGGAUAAGACCUUUCCUUAUAAUGAUCUCAAAGUUAAGGACGAAAUGAAAAUCAAACGAUUGAAAAGAUGUUUGUUAAAGGGAAAAAUCGACAAAAUGCAUUCGGGUCAGUGAGCGUGCAAAUAAACACAUAACAGAGACUUCCGAAGAAGAAAAAGGUUGGUUACCUUUCAAAAUGUUUGCUAAAUCCAUAGAUAAAUAAGAUCAAAUUGAAGUUGAUCCAGAACAUUGAUCAAUACUCAUUAAACAGCUUAUGAUGUUAGUUUAUUGGAUUUGAGUUAUCAAGACAAAACUAAUAAUAUAAUCAAUAACAGUUAUUACAAUAAUAAAACUUUAUUAAUAACUGUCAAUAGAUUAUAUUUACACUCUACGAGUUUUAUAACACAAAUGACACGAUGGACAAAAACAUCUUAACAAAGAGAAACAAGAAAAAUGAGAUCAUAUAUGCUUUAACAGGAAAUUACUUCGUAGUCAGAUAGACACAAUGCCUCUCUAUUUGUUCAAAAUCCAUUAAUGGAAAGGUAAAUGCAUUAAAAUUUUCUUUUUCUUAUAGUAAGAAAAGUUGUGUGUGCCUUUAAUUAAUUUGUGUAGCCAUGUUGCCUUUUGUCUUAGUUAGGCGCUACCAACCUUUGUUUGAGAGUACUCUUCACCUAUAGGAUCAUAUAGUUUUCUUAAUUAUUAUAUAUCUCUAUAUAUAUAAUUAAUAUAUGAGACCUAAAGCCCAACCAUUAUAUAUUAAUAAUGAGAUAUUUUUGGUGGAGCUUUUAGCCUAUAAUAAAAGUGAAAUAUAGUAAUUAAUUGAACUAUAUGUAUUUUUUUUUAAUACUAAGAGCAUAUGUUAUUAUAUAGUUGGCUCAAAUAAUUUCUAUUAUUAUAAAGUAUACAUGUGUGUGCGAUAAAUUUUAUAUAUUUUUAGAUCUUAAUGUAAAAUGAUAUGUUCCUUGGGAAUGUGUAGAGAAGUUUGGAGAUUACUCGAUGUUGUGAUUUUUUUUUGUGAAUUUCUAUGUAUGGGAUUUUUUAAAAAUCACUAACCAUAAAGGUAAUGAUUCAAAUCUAUUUUAGAGUUAAAUCAUAUGUGUUUAGCAACAAAAUUUCUAAACUUUUAUUUAUUUAAUUUCUUGAAUUUAAUAAAAUUUUAAACUUUUAAUUUAGUAGCUAUAAAUAUAUAGAAAUCAUGACAGAAUAACAAUUAUAACAUUUAUUUUAGAUAUAAUAUUUAAUUCUAAGAGUCUAUAUUGUCUUAACAUGUUUUUAAAUAUAUAAUUAAGUCAUUUUAAAAAAAAUAGAUAUUUGACAAUAACUUUUUAAAAUAACAUUUUAAAGUUUUAUUUUUUUAAGUCAAUACAAACAUAACAUUAGUAAUAGUUUAAAUAAAAAUUUAUUAUAGAUAAAAUUUAUCACUAAUUUAUUUUAGUGUAUAUAACGUUUUUUUAAAAAUAUUGUUAUAAAUUAGUUAUUGGUCCUAAAAUAAUAAUUUCUAUUAUUAUAAAGUAUACAAACGGUCCUAAUAUUGUUAUAAUUUAGUUUAAAUAAAUUAGACAAAUAAUGUAAAAGUAAAUCAAUGAAAGGUAUAAUUUAACCUUUCUAGCAAUAAAUUACCCAAAAAAAAAAAUAAUAACUUUUCACACUUUUUCCUUCAAAGUUUUACCUUUAUAUGGUUUUAAAUAAAGCAAAGCUAUAGAAAUUAACAAACAAAAUAAAAGAAAAUCAAGUAAUAUCCCUCUCUCUACUUCAAAACAUCACUUUCAAUUUUCAAAUCAAACCCUAACCCUAAUCCAAAAGAGAAAAUUUCACUCAAAAGCAAAAAAAAAAAAAAAAAAAGGGGGAAAAAGGAGAACAAAAUGAAAGCUACUUUUGAAUCAAAAUUGACUUUGAAAUCACUUUUGUUGGGUUUUAACCAUGCUUGUAAUUAUAACUAAUUAAAACCAUUAUUAAUAAUAUAAUUGAAUUAGUAACACCUUCUUUCUUUUUCUUCUUCUUAUUCUUUAAUUAAUUUGGGUGUGAGGAUAAAAAAAAAAUUAAAAUAGGAUUUCAUUUUAAAUAUUAACUAAUUAAGAAUUGCCCCACUAAUUAACUCUUUUUCUAUUUGCUAAAUCUCCAAUUAACUUUAUAGGAUGCUUUUGAUUUGAUCAAGUUAUAUAUGAACAAAAAUUAUGAUUGUGUUCAUUGAAGGAUGAUUACAUUAUUUUGUGGAUGAUAUAUUUUUAUUAUAUUUGGAGUGAAAGCAAAAGAAAAUGGUAUAGUAAAUCAUUAAAAUGAUAAGUAAGAGAAUAUUUUCUUUUGAAUUAGAUUCAAUCUCCUAAUUUAUAUAACAUUUAACUAAAUUUUAGAUUAUAUAAUAUUUAUGAUAAUUUUUUUUUUAUCAUUUUGACCAUUUACUUUUUUUUUUUCUCCUUGAUUUUCAAUAUAUAUCUAAUGACUUGAAAAAGAUGUAAAUAGUUUCUUUUGAUUUUCCAUAAAAGAAUUCACUAUUUCAGGAUAAAAUUAAAAACAAAAUUAUUUUUAAACAUACCAAAAUAAUAUAAUUAUAAAGUAUUUCAAAAUUUCAUAACCUAUCAUUGAUAAAUAUUAAUAAAUCGAUAAUAUAUUAGUAUUUACUAGGUAAACACAUAUAAAUAAUUAUAAAAUUUCGUUGUAGUUACAAAUAUUUUUUAAAGAGAAUUUUAAAAAAUAAUAAAAUUUAAAAAAUAUUUAUAACAUAUAACAAAAUUUCAGAUUCUAAUAAUAAUAAACACUGAUAGACACUGAUAUGCUACUAUAGGUGAUAUUGAUAGAUAAUAACAAAAGUUUAUUAAUUUUUAUAGUAAAUAUUUUAAUUUGUUUUAUUAUUUUUAAUUUUUUUUCUUUUGAUAUAAUUGAUUUUUUAAAAAUAAAUUUACAUUUUUUGAAAACUAAUUUUUUCUUUUAAAACUUUAGUUAAUUUUUUAAGACGUUUACUUAUUAUCUUAAUAUAAAUAUAUAUAUAUAUAUAUAUAUAUAUAUAUAUAUAUAUAUAUAUAUAAAGUUUUCAAACCAUUAAUAAAUUAAAAACCAAAACAACUACUUUUAAUCUUUAUCAUUAAAAUGAUUUCUUAAAAUAGGAAAAAAAUUAUUGAAAUUUAAUUAUUCCAAACCAUUACGUUAAGUCAAUGUAUCUUUACUUUUACUUUGACUUUUGUGUUCAUAGAUAAGGGAGAAAUUUUAUACACAAGAGUAAUUUUAUUUUAUUUUUUCAUAUAUUUACAUUUAAAACUUUAACAAAAUAUAAAUACAACUUCAUUUUAAAAAACAAAUCUAUUGUUUUAUAAAUAAAAAAUGAUGACAAUAAUUUACGUUAAAAUUGACCUCGAAUGAUUGAAUACAUAUGGAUGCAUGGAAAUUUGCUUAUACAAAUACAAAUAAAGUUUUUGAAUUUGAAAAAUAUGGAUUAAAGAAUUAAAAAAAAUAAAGUUUUGAUUCUAAAUUUGAAACUAAAGUUUGAAUUUCAAGAACACAAAAAGGACACAAGUAUUCUAAAAAACAAAUCCAAAGAAUGGCAUUGGGAUAAUCAUAAAAUCAUGAGAAUCCAAUUCCAAUUCCUCUUUUUGUGAGAUUGUGAGAAUUGAGAUUAAGUAAUCAAAAUAAAUUAGAUUUUACUCUUUAUAUAUAGUUUAAUAAUAUCUCAUUUGAUAGUUUUUUUAAUAAAUAUUUAUCAUAAAAACCAUUGGUCAGAGUUGUUGCAAACUUUUUCCAGGAACCAAAUUGUAAAAUAUAUCAGAUAUCACUACAAAAUAGUAAAACACUUCCAAAUAUAACGGUAGGAAUAGAUUGGAGUGAGUAUCGGCUCAGUCGGUUUUCAGACCAAACAUACUACGAUUAACUUUAGUAAAUGUUAAAACUGAUAUUGAUCAUGAAAGAGUGCGUCAAUCAAUCUACCAAUCAAUUAAAUUCGACUUAAACCUUUGAUUUUCUUAAAAAUUAUGCUUUAUGUUUAGAUUUUUCUCAAACAGAUUUAGAUCGAAUCUCCUCUUAUCUUUAAUCGACUACUCUUAGUUUGAUGGAUCGAUUCAUUUCAUCAAUCGUUCAUGAUCCCUCAGCUAAAACUAGCUCAAAGCUAACCAUUGUUUUUAUAGUAAUUUUUGCUUGUAAAAUAAUAAUUUUAGUGUUUAUAUGGAUGGAGAGGAAAAUUCCAAUAUGGAUCAAAAUUAAUCCAAACUCAACUAACAUAGUCGGAGAAUAUCCCAAGUUCAAUUUUCUCACAAAAGAGGGACACAUUUUAGUUUUUCUUUUCUAUAAUUUAAUUAUAUAUCAUUUUUUUUGGCUAAAUUGUAAAUUAUAUUCAAAACUUUUGAAAAUUAUUCUCGAGGAAGAAAUUAGAACUAUUAGGAGGUAAGAUGAGAGCACCACCAAUGUAUGAAUUUUACGUGUUUGAAGUACUAUAACGUUUAUUUUCCAUCUUGAUAUAUGAUUCUCUUCAGGUCAAUUUUGAAAACCAAUACCCAAUGAAUAAUAACAGAUCUGUUUUCCAGUAUAUUCAUUGUUGAUAUUUGAUAAUAUUUAUAAUAAUACUAUUUUACGAUAUAGUUUUGACAAUAAAUUUUUCGCUUGAGUGAUUUAUAGUCGAGUUGACCUGUAGAAGACAUCUCACCAACUCAAUAUUGAUAGGAUUAUAACACAAACUAAUUGCUUAACUCUAUGUCAACUGUAACUUGAGUCGAGCCUCAUACCUGGAUGACAAUGCCAAGUAGUUUGACGGUAAAAACAGUCCGCUAGACUCGACGAUUACCCUAAUGUCUUUCGCGAGGUAAUAUUGUAAAUCUAGAAAAAGAAAAAAGCAAUUUUUAAGAAAUAAAAUUUAUAAUUUAUAAUUUAAUUUUUUGAUGUCUAUUUUUAUUUAAUUUAAUUUUCUCUAACUUCUAUAGUGAUGACUGGCGAAUUGGUACCUUGAAAUUAAAUUAAAUUAAAUUUAUUUUCGUUGGGUGGGGAAAAGGGCAGAAAAUGCCAUACAAGUUAUUCUCUUGAUUCGAGGAGAGAGUUGUGUUCUUCUUCCCAACAUUUUUCAUGGAGUUUCAUUUCAUUGUUGAAAAAGGAGAGAGAUCAGAUUCAGAUCGAUUCUUAUCAUCAACACAACUUUCUUCUCCAUUCAUCACAUUCCUAGCUCAUUCUCAUCUUCUCUUCCACUUUAACUUCAACUACUCACUUUCUCUUCUUACUCAAUAUCAUGCCUCUUCUUCUCUUUCUUUCUAGGUUUUUUUAACUUCUACCUUUAAUUUCUUUCCCUCCUUCUCUUGCAUCACCUCACUUCAUCUUCCAGGUUUCUUUCUCUUUCAAUUCAUGUUUUCCUUUGUUUCAUUGCUCAAACUGAACUGAGCUUUGUUUUGAAAUUGUAAUUGUAGGAGCUUGUUUGUUAUUUACUUUUUUUUUUUUUUUAAUGAAGAUGAUGAUCGGAGGAUGUUACUUGUUUUAUGUGUUUGUAAUGUGCUUUCAUUUUCUUCUUCACUUUCUAAUUUUGCUAUGUUUGGCAGUUUUCUUCCUCCAGAUCUAUGGUUCACUUUGCUGUUUUGAUUUAUGUUUCUGGCUUUAAAUCUGGAUUUCCUGUUGCCAUGUGCUUGUACUUGAUGAAAAUAGGGGUUUGUUGUUGUUGUUGUUUUUGGAGGUUAGGGAUGGGGUUUCGGGGCAAAUGCAUCUCGAUCUUAACUUGGAAAAUGCCUUAUGUUGUCUCUGGAAGACUUGUUUGUUUGGGUUUUUGUGAAUUCUAACAGAUUUUUUUUUUGUUAAUUCAUGAAUCUGACCUUUCCUGAAGCUUCUGUGUACUUAUUUUGCUUUCGGACCUGCACAAGCCUGCUAAAAUGAGCUUCAGCUUAUAAUGAUUUUGCUUUAAGAGAUAUACUUCUACAUUACUUCAAGGAUUUUCGAUGGAAGUUUUUGUAUAGAAUGCCGUUGGAGUAUGAAACUAUUGCCUUUCCUUCCCUUUUUUCCUUUUUUCUUUUCAACUCAUUCUUUUUACUUCUUUCUCUUUUUCACAUUUACUUUCAUCAAUUUCGUCCGUUACAGAUGUUUCAAAUCGGAGCUUCUUUAUUAUAGUUAAGAUUUCAAAGUUAUAUGAGUUGUCUUAUCUGAUUUAAUUUCUAGUGUUCACAAUUUUAAGCUUUGAUUAAUUGAUGCCAGGCUUAUAGUUAUGGUCUUGAAUGCAACAUACCGAAUGCGUGUUUCUAAAGAAAGAAGUUGUGGCUGCAGAUACACCAGAAAGUUUGCUGAAGAGUAGUUUCUAAUGUCUUGUGGAAGCUAGGAAACAUUUUUCGGCAGAAAAGAGCUUGUUCACAUACCAUGUUCUGAAUUCAUCCAACCACCUCGAUUCCUAGUGCUCGUCUUCCAGAUCAUAAAGCAUCUCACCAUGCUCAAGCAAAUACUGAGCAAACUUCCUAAGAAGUUGCAGAAAUCGGAUACGGUGGAUUCUGCAACAAAUGAGUCUGGCAACAAUACUUCUCGUCUGGGACAUGUAUUCCAGUGUACAAAUGUAGGGAGCGCCUUCUCGAGUAAAUUAAAUGUUGUGAAGCGUGUUUCAUCAGCGGUUUUCCCUGCAAGUAUUGCAGCAGAAGCAGUGGAUCCCCACUUGUCAUUCAAAGAUGUUCCGAAUCCGCAGAAGCAGAACUUGUUUGUCAGUAAAUUGAACUAUUGCUGUGAGGUUUUUGAUUUGAAUGAUAUGGAGAAACAGGAUCUUAAACGUCAAAUGUUGAUAGAUGUUGUUGAUUUUGUUACAUCUGGAUCUGCAAAGUUCACUGAGACAGCAAUUUCAUCAGUAUGUAAGUUGUGUGCUGCUAAUCUUUUUCGCGUGUUCCCACCCAAAUCACGUUCAACUUCAACUGGUGGAGAAACAGAGGAUGAAGAACCAAUAUUUGACCCAGCUUGGUCACAUUUGCAAAAUGUAUAUGAUCUACUGCUUCAUUUUGUCAGUAGCAACUCCCUAGAUGCAAAAGUGGCCAAAAAAUAUCUUGAUCAUUCUUUCAUCCUGAGAUUGCUCGACCUCUUUGAUUCCGAUGACCCAAGAGAAAGAGAUUGCUUGAAAACAAUCCUUCACCGUGUCUACGGAAAGUUCAUGAUACACAGGCCUUUCAUCAGGAAGGCUAUUAGCAAUGUCAUGUAUCGUUUUGUUUUCGAGACGGAGCGGCAUAAUGGAAUUGCAGAGCUGUUGGAGAUUUUUGGUAGCGUGAUUACCGGGUUUGCAUUGCCAUUGAAGGAGGAACACAAGACAUUUUUAUGGAGAGUUCUAAUUCCUCUUCACAAACCAAAAUCAGUCGGAAUUUAUCAUCAGCAGUUAACAUAUUGUAUUGUACAGUUUAUAGAUAAGGAUCCUAAGUUGGCCAGUACAGUUAUAAAGGGACUUUUAAGAUAUUGGCCUUUAACAAAUAGCCAGAAAGAGCUGAUGUUUUUAAGUGAAACAGAAGAGAUUUUGGAAAUGAUCAGCAUGGUUGAGUUCCAGAAGAUCAUGGUCCCUCUCUUUCGUCGAAUCGGAUAUUGCUUGAAUAGCUCUCAUUACCAGGUAUGAUUAUUGCUUCCUAGAUUUUAAGGGUCUGAUUUAGAUUGCUGUUUUCUUUUAUUUAACUGCAUUUCACUAGAUUUUGGUUUUUCUUGUGUUAUUGUAUAUGCAUAUUUUACAAGCAUGGAACGGCUUCAAAUGGAUUUAUUCCUUGAUAAAUAUGAAGAAUUAGGAUUCGUUCCAAGUCCCUAAACCUAGUCUAUGUUGAUUUGAUUCGACUCCAAUGUGUUUUUGAGUGUUUAGUUGAUUUUUGGUUGGUACAUUUGUUUACUUUUCCAAUUCUCUUAGGUGGCAGAGAAAGCUCACUUGCUUUGGAACAACGAACACAUCAUCAAUCUUAUCGCUCACAACCGGCAAGCGAUCAUACCGAUUAUCAUCCCAGCUCUUGAACGAAAUACACAAAAGCAUUGGAACAAUGCCGUACUAAAUCUAACUUUAAAUGUGAAGAAGUUGGUUCACGAGAUGGACGAGGAACUCGUGCUUGCUUGCCAGGUUGACUUGAAGGAGGAACAGUCGAAGUUGGUUGCAGCGGCAGAGAAGAGGAGAUUGACAUGGGAGCGGCUCGAGAAUGCUGCAAGACCACAGCCAAUAUCUCCUAACAUUUCAUUUCUGGUAGAACCAGCAACUUGUGCAGUUGCUGGCUAAGCCACUCAGAAUCGGAAGAUCUGAGUCAACAAAACAACGGUAUCAUCAUUACUUUUGCAGUAGUACACCCGGAUCAUCUAGUUCUUUGAUUCAACUGCACAAAAAGCGUCUCAUCCGUCUCAUCGAGAUUGCGACGAACAAGUUACAGACGAUGGAUAUGAUCAGGUCCUGAUGAAACUUUCUGUACAGGUGUGUGGGUAAAAAGCAGGAGCAGCCUAUUUGGUUGUUAUUGCCAUAAAUUUGAGGAAAUCUGUAUCCUUGAUCAAACAGUGUGUUUCUUCACUGUUUUUUUCUUUCUUUUUUCUUUUUCCUUUUUCCAUAUCUCAUUCAUGAUGGGAUUUUGUGCUUUUGAGUUCCAAUGGCACUGGCAGCGUAUUGAUGAAGCCUUCAGCUAUGAGCUUGUUUGUUCUUCUGAAAAUUCAAUGUCUUUCUUCUCUUGAAUUCCAAACAGGAUGGUGAAUCAUCCUCAUUUCUUUGAGAUGGUGAUGGAGCCCGAGAAUGCAUUUUUCUGUCCUUUGCCUUUUAACCCUCUUUUUUUAUCUCCAAAAUUAUAUAAUAAAAUGUACAUUUUGCUCUCUCUAUAUGUAUUGGCGGAGGGCGGAGGGCGGAGGGCAGAGGUUUGAAUCAACCUUAGCAAUGUAAGUGAUAUUUCUUGUUGGAAAAAAUACCUUUUUUUUCGGGUUUAGUUUCUGUUUGAUUCUUGCACAUUUAUGUCUUAUUUGGUAACCACCUUGUUUUUAUUUCUUAUUUUUUCCAGAUUUCUUAAAAUUCUAAAAAUAAGUUAAAAGAUAAGUCUUUUAGUUUUUAAAUUUUCGCUUGAUUUUUAAACCAUUGGUAAAAGAAAGGAAGAAGGAGUGUUGAUAGUUUUAAUUCUAAAAAGAUAAAAACGAAAAUCAAAAUGGAUACUAAAAGGACUUUUUAGGUUUGGAGUUUGGUUUUAAUUUAGUUUUUAAGUCUUUAAACAAUUUUGUUAUAUUUUAUAAAUGGUAUUAAAAUUGUAGCCAUACAAUGAGAGGUUUGAAGUAAGAGUUAGAGGUGUGGGUGUAUAUGUAUGAUAUCUAAGAACUAAGAAGAAAGAAAAGGGUGUGAUUGUGAGAGCAAGGGAAGUAGGGUAGUCCAUGAAACAGAGGAUAAUGGAAAAGAAAAAGGAGGCAAUUUCUGAGGUGUUAUCUGCCAUUUGAAGCUCAGUCCCCUUUUUCCCAAAGGGGACAAUUUGAUUGUACAAUUAUUGCUUUCUUCUCCUUCACCAUUUCUCCCACAUUUUCCUUCUCCACACUUUCUCAUUUCUUUCAAAAUUUAUUUUUAAUUUUCAUAUCCUUACACGAUUUCAAUCUUUUUCAAAACAUAGUUUUGAAACGAUUUUAAAGGGUGCUUUUGAUUCUUAAAAUUCAUGGAUCUAAUAGUACAAUUUAAUUUUAUAUUUACUAAAUUCUUUUGGGUUUAAAUUUUUAAUUUUUUUUUGAAUUUAUUAAAUAAAGUUGAAAAUGCAAAAACUUGUUUAAGACACACUCUCAAAAGCUUACUAAUCAAAUAGAUGUAACCAUCAAAGUUCAGUGAAAAAUCUAAUUAAAAUUGGUGGUUGACAAUGUGUAUCAAUUUGCAUUCGUCCCAUUUAAAAACAUUCUAACUAUGAUAUAUAAUAACUCAUUUAGAUGAGUGGUAUAGUGCUUUUGUAAUCAAGAUCAAAAAAGAGAAAUUUUCUAAUGUGAUUAAACCUCUUGUUUUUUCAAGGCCAUAGUGAAUUUUGUUCGAAUUUUGAAAUUUUACUCACCAUGAAGCAAUUUUAUAAAAUUGUCUUGAUUUCUUCUCGUUCAUGUGCGACCAACUUUAAGACUAUGCACCAACUCGGCAGUUGCACACGAGCAACUCCAAAUUGUAAAUAUUGAUCUAAAUAUCAAUAUUUGGAAUAUGAAAUUUUGGUAUAUUUGUAAUUGUUUUAAAGUAUUGCUACGUAGUAAUAUAAUUAAAAAUUAAAAUUGAGAAGCAAUCACGUGUUUACUUAGAGGGAGAGAGAGAGAGAAAAAGGCGAAACCAGAGGGUUUUAGGUUUCUUCUUCGCUCAUAGUAAUUGCCCAACGACUUCCAUUCAAUCCUUUUCCACACUCUAAACUUUCCAUCGCCAAACCUAAACAGAGAUUCCCAAUUUCGGAACUGAAAGAAAGAAGGGAUGUACCACGUUCUUCCACCGCAAGAACAGCAUUUCUCUUACAUUACGUACGAUGUCCAAAGACGCCAAUCAAGAUAAAGGCUGUGUCUCUUCGCUCUGUAAGAACGACGAUCUCUUUAAUUUCUUCCAUUCUUCCAUUUUUCUAAUUUUUCUAAUCGAUUUGAAUAAUUUUAUCAGUUUAUUCGCUGUGUGUUGCUGUUUUUGCUGAUUCGAAUUAAACUUGCGUGUGUUGCUUGAAGUGUGUUUGUUGUUGCUGCGAUUGAGUUAUAUAGUGUAUUCCAUCUUCGAUUCAAUAAUCAUCUAAAUUUCUAUCUUUCGGUGUUUUGUUAGAAAAUUUAUAUAAAAAAAAAAGAGAAAGAGGAGAAUUAGGCUUUGGAGAGAUAUUGGAUGUAAUUUGUUCUGAGUUCUUGUUUUUUUUUCUUCUUCAAUUUCUUUGAUUUAAUAAAAAAGAGUCUGGGUUGUAUAUUUGUAUUCUUACCAUGUUCCAAUUUAUUUUUCAAAUUAGAGAUAAGAACAAGGUAUUUAGCAACAUUUAAAAAGAAGUUAUUAAUAUAGAAAAGUUUACCGAUAUCUCUCCAAAAAAAUUUGUAUAGAAGACACUAUACGCUAUAUAAUAAACACACUUCAACAGAUAUCUGAAUGCUUUCGAGUAACAGUCACUAUAUUUAUAGUAUUUGUAGCAAUAAAUUUUCACAUUAUAUUUUGUAAUAUAAAUGUAAAUUUUAAAAUUACAUAAAAAACUUUUUCAUGAAAUAUUGGUGAGAGAAUGGAAAUUUAGAUAUCAACUUUGUUGCAUUAUUUUCUACAGAAGUUGAACUCUUAAGAUGAUGGUAAAGUUUAGUUAAAAUAAAAUAUUAUUUAAUGUAUAUUGUAAUAUGACAAUUAAAAAUUAAUAUUAAAAUAUAAAAAUCAAUAAUGUGAGGGAGUCAGUAUUCGACCCCUUAUUAAAUCCACCUUUGCCGACACUUAUAGACCACAAUGACCAAUAUUUACGAGAUGGUCUAGGUCUAGGUCUAAUUAAUCUAUCACUAACAAACGUUUAUAUAUGCAAUUUUUAAAUAAUAUUACUAUACGUGCUAAUACUAUCCCAAAUCUUUGUUAUUAAAUUGUUAUUAUAACAUUUUUUUUUGGAUUUGAUGUGUUAGAUUUUUAUUCAAUUUAUUAUUAUUAUUAUUAUAUCUCUUUUAAAACGUCGGGAAACAUCUUUAGAAAAAAGCACAAGUUGGAAAACAUCGAUCAAUUUAUACUUAUAAACUUUAAAAGUUCUAUCACUCUUGCGAGUAUAUUAUUUUAGACCAUUUACUACAUUUUAUUUAAAAUAACUAUGAUAAACUUAAAAGUUUAUUAGUUAAACUUUAAAGUCUCCUAAAUCAAUCAAUUUAGACUUUUAGGUAUAUUUAUUCUUGUCUACUCUCGUAAUUGAUUCAAAAUUUAAUGGAUAAAAGAUUUAUAUUGACAAUGAAAAUAAGUAGUUUUUAAGUUAUAAUGGAUAAAAGAUUUAUAUUGAUAAUGAAAAUAAGUAGUUUUUAAGUUAUAGCUUCUUCUUCUUUUUUACAUUUUUUAUCAUCUAAAUAUAUAUGUUGGUGAGAGUCUAUCAACUUAUCAAUGUUUAUCCAUGAUAAAAAUUGAUACGAGUAUAUUCUAUCAACAUCGAUGUCUAUUAGUGAUAAAGGCUUAUUGUUUAUAUGUAUGUAACACCCUAAAUGUAGGGGAAGAUAUGAAUGAACUGAUAUCACAUUUAAUUAAAAGAGAUCCUGAGAAUUUAAUUAAAAGAGAUCCUGAGAACAUGAGAGUAAAGUUAAGAAAGACUUAAAAUAGUUCAAAGUUACUACAUAUUUUAACAAAGUGCACUUUCUUUUUUAAUAGCUCGAUCAUAUAAACUUUGUUGGACCUGAGCAUUACAAUUGAUCACUACUUUUUUUACCAUUUAUAUGAAUAGUUUGACAUUUUUUCUAUACGUGAAAAUUAAUCUCUUUUAAUUUGUAAUAUACAUUGCACCUUGUUUUUAUUUUACACUUUAACUAUUUAUUUGCAACUUUGACUGCACCCUUUUUGUUUAAGAAAACAUUAAAGAAAAUAGGUUUUAUGAAUGUGUUUAAUUUUUUGAAUUACUCAAUCUAUAUAUUUAACAGAAGUAACCAUUUAUGUAAUUUAAAAUUUAUCACAAAUUUAAUUUAAUUCCUCGAAUCUUCAAAUUCAAUUGGUGUUUUGUAUUAUUUUGAUCGAUUAACUUUCAAUAUUUGUUGAGAAUUGUCCUACAUUAAUAAUACUCAAUUUAUUGGCAUGUCUAAGCUCGAGAGAAAUCAAGAGGUGUGACAUGGAAAAAUGUACUACAAAAGGGAAAACUUAAAGUUUUCAUCCCUAGUUGGUAAUAAUAGCACCAAUAAGAAAAUAUAUUUGAAAUGUACUCAGUUUCAUUCUCGCAUCAUAAACUACCAUGACAUUCGUCAAAGUUACACCUAAUCACAAUCAAUUGUAAGAGGAAGGAUAUUCUUAAUUAGCCUCGUUUAUUUAAUGACCUUCCAGAAGAACAAAAAAAGCAAGUAAAUCCUAAUAAAUGAGAACUCUAACCUUACUUUUGUGUGCUUAGUUGAACUAACUACACUCUAAAUACCGAUUUAGACAUUAAAUUUACCUGACAAGAAUCUUUCACACGUGUUGAAUGAAAUAGCAAAAUCGAAUUAGAAGAAGUGAGCUGGCCAAAGGUUAAACCCACGAAGACGUCAUCGUGACAACGUGUGCAUGAAAAUCCACACACCAACCAUAUCUAUUUUUUUAAGCUACCUGAAUACACAUCUAAUUCAACUACUACUAUAUAAAGUUCUUUCAACCAAUUUUUGGUGCUAAAUAAAGAAGAUGUAGAUAUUAUGAACAAACUUAUAGGUAGCCAAAUGCUUUUUAAUGAAGGUAGCUGAAAAGCAUUAACAGAAUAUAUAUGACUAUGAGACAUUUCAAUUUUUGGUAGAUAUAUAUUUCCCAAUUACAUAAUUCAAAGUGGCAAACUUUUGUCAAACUUUAGGUUAAAAUUGCAAUUAAAAAUGAGUAAUUAAUUUUGGGCAGGUCAAUUAUAACCUAACCAAUUAUAGAUAGAUUGUGUCCUUUUUCAAUAUAUGGAGAUUGUUAAAGUGUGUUUCCUUCAAACACAAACCUCUUUUUUAUUAUAUUUGACAAUUCACGAUUCACAUUUCGACUAAUUUCACGAGAUGACUUAUCUGAUCUUACAACAUAAUAUUUGGGUGUAAAGAAAAUUUGUAGAAAUUAAUUGUUAGAUUGAUGACCACCGUUGAUUGAACUUGUGACUUCUCAGUUAUUUUUUAUGGUCAAUAUAAGGAUUCACGUUUAAAUUUUGAUGUGUUUGAGAUUGAUUUUGUAGAUAUCAUCGUUACUACAAAUUUGGCUUAUAGUUAAAAUUAAUCAUUUGUAUUCCAAAAUUUUGAAUUCUAUCAACGAUAGUCAGGAUAAAAUUUGUUAUAAGUGGUAAAUAUUCUUUAAAAUUUAUUAUUUUUAAAAAUUUAUCUAAAUUAAUUAACUUAAUAUUUAAUUUUAAAAUGUAAUUUUCAUAUAAUCAAAUCCAACCCUUAAUAAUUAAAAUAAUUUUAAAAUUUGACCAAAGUGACUUAACAAGUCAAAAAUCACUUCCAAGUUUACAAAAUAAUCUAAAGUUUUUUUUCUAAAGUAUAUGACUAAAUUUUGCAAAUUUGAAAAUGAAAAUGAGAAAAACUAAAUAUUGGGUAUAUUUUAUUUAACCCAAAAAUCAAAUGUAUGGUUUCUAUUUUUUUUUUUUGAAAAAGGAGAAUUAAAAUUAAAAAUUGAAGAGAUCUCAACCAACCCUUUUAAGUCAAAGGUCAUCAUAAUGAAGUGCCCAAAAAUUAGAUGGGUGCCAACAUUUUUGGACCUUUUUGUUCUUCUUUAUAAAAAAUAUUGAUAAGUUUUGGAAGCACUUUUCAGAGAGCCAUUCAAUUUUGGGCAUAAAAGUCCUUUUCCUCACGUAUAUUUCGAAAUUUGUUCAAUUUUAGUUUUGUACGACCAUUUUUAAAUUUAACCCAUAUUGUUUGUCUAUUGUUGACUUUUUAAAAAACUCAUGGGUUACUUAUUAUCAUUUUCACUCUAAAUAUUAAAAAGAUAUAUUCAUAUAUUUUUUAUUUUUAUUAAAAUUAAAAAAAAUUAUUUUAAACAACAAAACUAUUGAAAAUAUUUACAAAUAUACUACACUAUCACCGUUGAUUGUAAUAACUACUGUAUGUGUUUAUAUGUGUCAUGAUAGCUAUUAAACAUAAUAUUUUAAUGUAUUUGAAAACAAAUCAUCAAAGUAAUACAAUAAUUAUAAUUAUCUUAGAAUGAGCUAAAAUAGUAUUCCAAUGCAUUUUCAAAUAUAGUAAAAUUUUAAAUUCUAUCGAUAAUAGACAUUAAUAAAAGUCCAUCAAUAUGAAAUAUAUAUUUUAGGAAUAGUUUGGAUGUUAGAUUUUGUUAAAUUUUGUUUAAAGUCGUACCAUAUUUAUUGUGGCACUAAUAUUCUCACCUACAAACCAAACAUGGUUUGGAAAGAAAUAAUACUCCAAAAGAGAGAAAUGGUAGAGAUUUUGUGCAUAUAAAAUACAAACAAACACAUCCCCAUCUCUCAAACCCUCUAACCACUAAAUAUAAAUUAUAAACUUCCUCCUCACCCACUUUUCCUUUUCUUUUUCCCUCACAAACCUUCCAACAUAUUAAUUAUAUUGAUAGCCACCACUUUUUCUUUCUUUCUUUCAUUAUUCAAUAUAUUAUUAUUAUUAUCAUAAUCUCACUUCAUAUACUUCGAACAUUCAAUAUUAGUAUCUUUUUUAAUAAUCAAAUUUAGAUUAAUACUUUCAUGUCCCUUUCUUUUAUAUAUGGAAUUAAUGCACUUUUUGUUCUUAUGAACAUAGUCAAAUAUUUAAUCAUCACAUUGCAUUGAGUUUUUUUUCCCAUAAAAUUGCUCUAGUGGGCAUGAUUAGGAGACUAUAUAAUAUUUUUUUCUUCUAAACUUUAGAUAUGGUUACGAAGACCUAAUAAAUAAAUUAAAGAAAAAAUGUUUAAAGCGUGAAAUCAUUUAAAAUAUUUAUAAAUAUAUAGUAGAAUUAUGUUAUAUUUGUAACUAGUUUUUCUUUUAACUGUAUAAUAUUUAUAUCUAUAAAUGAUAUGAUUUCAAACGAUGUUUAGAAUUUGACAAUAUAUAAGACUUUGAAAUACUUAAAUAAUUCAACUCUACUAAUUUCAAUAAUUUUAUUAUUCAAAUUUGCAUAUGUAUUAAACACUUUCACAACAUGCACUCUAAAUACGAAUUUUCUAACUUCAAUCUAAUAAAUUCAGAUUGCAUAAUUCUAACUCAUCGCUCGAAAAACUUCCUUAGGAUAAAAUAAAAUUCGAAUGACGAAACAUAGUCAAAUUUUGUAUUUUUUUUUAAUCUUUUCUUAAUUUGAUGAUUAAAACAAAAUAACCAAAAGGAAAAAAAAAGAAAAGAAAAGAAAGAAAUAAUUAGAUGUACCAAAAGGGAGUGAAGGCCAUGUGGGUUUGAUCCUACACAUUAAAUGAUGGGCAUGAAUUAUGUUCCCUACUCAAUUUUACCUCUUAUUCACUAUUAGCUGUAUGUUGACUCUCAUUAUAUACAUUUAUACUUUAUAAAGAUUUCUUUUUUGUCACACUAUAUUUCAUUAGAACUAUACUAUAUAUCAUUUAUUAUGCCAACCAUUAUUCUAAUUUAACGACCAUUUAUUGUUAUUAUUAUUACUAAUCUCAACUAACUCAACAAAUUAACACCAUUCUUAUUCAUUUUCUUAUAAUAGAAGCUCAAAUCUUAUCUUUCAAUCUAUGUUGUAUGUUUAAGAAAAGAUAAAUAGUUAAAAAUAGAACAAAAAAAAAAAAAAAACGAUUUAAAUGAGUUAUGGAGAGCUGGAUGCAUUUUAUGUAUUUAAGAAUGAAUUUACUGUGUUUCUUCUUAGGGUAUGUAAAUCUAUAAAAAAAAAAAAUGGAAGAAUUACAAAGUUAGUGGAUACUAAAUUAAUUACGAUGUUAAAUCAAUGAUUCCUUUGACUAUAUUUUUUUCUUUGAGUAAGAUAAAGGAUCGAGUAUAUUGUAUAUCAAUGGAGCGCGCGAUGGUCGAUUUUUUACAAAUAUUAGGUUAAUGUGUGGUUAAAAAAUUAAUUUUUAUCGAUGUUGCAGUGAAGAUUGCUAUAAAGUCAUAUUAUUGAAUACGCUAUAACAAAUGAGUGCAUGUCAAUUAUCGUUGAGUGGAUUUAUUGACGUUGUUUGUGUUUGAUAGUAUUAAUUUUUUUUCGUUUAUUUGUUUUCUAAAAAAUCUUGUAGUUGAGUAAAACUUCUUUUUCGGAAGGUAUUUGUAUAUGUAUUAUCCAAUCUUUCCUCUUAAGUUUUAUCUCUUAGAGACGUGAAAAAAGUGAGUAAUGUAUAUCUUUCAAAGAAUAAGAAUUAAAGAGCAAAAAUAAUCAACAUAUACUUAUAGCUUUAGAAAAAUAAAAGAAUAUUAAUACGAUCUUAAAUACGUAUUAAUUUUCUCGUGAGAAGUUUAGAAACAAAAAUUAAGAUACAUCGAAAAAAACACUUCAAGUUUCUCAUAAGUUCCUUAACAUAAGAAAAUCACACAUUUCAUUUUUUUUUUCUUUAAUACAAUAACUAUGAUGUAUGAGAAUUUAAAGUAUUGACCUUAAGGAGAAAACGUACGAUCGAUCUUAAUCUCAAAAUGAAGACCGACCUAGUUUCAUACUUACAGAACCUUAGGCAAAGUAGAAAGAAUAUAUAAAAUUAAAAAGAAAUCUUACAUUUUCAUUUCUUGAACACUUAAUUUUCUCGACUAAAUCAUUUAUACGUUCUUAAAAGGAGACAACUACUUUCACGUUGUUGAUGUUUGUUAGAGAAAUUAUCAAACAAUCAUUGAGAGAUAUAUAAAUUCAAAAUGAUGAUUAAUUUAGGAGCUAAGCAACAACUACGAGAUUCAAUCAUUUUUUUCUUUCAUAGAGCACAAACACUUAGUCUAUCUAAAAUUCAACAACAUAUUUGUGGCGAUAAAAGAUUGAAUCUUCCACCUUUAGAAUGAAAUAUCAUACCAAAGACGAAAACAUAAUUCAUCAAUCAAUAUUCGAUAUAAAAUAUUAUUUAAUGAAAUUUAAAACAAAACCAUACAAAUGCAAAAAACACAAAGAGACUAUAACAAUUGAUAUAACUUAAUUCCAAGAAUGACCAUGAUAGACCAAAAAACCGAGCCAACUGACCGAAUAAAAGUCGGCUGGUGUUGAUUUAGGAAAUGACAAUAAAAAAAUUCUAAAGAGUGAAACAAAUCGACCAAUCAAAAUUGACUUUUUACUCUCUAAUAAUCAAAGUCGAUCCGAACAUUAACUUUGAUGGACCAAUCAACGAGCAUCCCUAAUUAAUUAAACACUCUAACUUUAACAAGAAGAAAGCACCAAAAAAUAGAGUGGUUAGUUACUAUUACAAAGUAGAUUGUCAAAAAAUUGGGUCACCCUUUGCUUGGUUAAAAGCCAAACCCACUUUUUACUUUUCCAAAUUUCUACUUUUUCCAAAUUUUCACUAAGCAACAAAAAGUUAGACAUUUACCCGCCCUUUCUACCAGGGGGUAUAACGGUAACUUCACAGUUUCCCAACCGUUUUAAUCAAAAGAUUUGCCAAUUGCGCACCAUCAUUCAGUCCCACGCGCGCCCAUUCUAGUGUGCUUAAUAAGGUCCCUAACGUCAUUUCACUAUUUAAUGAACUUUGUCUCCAUAUGCCUUAGGUUUUGGGACAUUUUGAAAAAUAAUCCUCAAAUGCCUUUCAUUUUUCUUAACUAAUUCAAUCGUAUAGUUUUCACAUUCUUAUCUAUUUAGUCGAGAUUGAUCAUCGAGAGUUUAAUUAAAAAAUUAUCGUGUAUUAGAUUUUUUUUGAAGAAAUUUUGCGAAGAAUGUUGAGAUGUUACACAUUUUUUCUCUCUUAAUGAUCAUUAUACAAAAAUCUUACAUCUAUUCAAAUUUUCUCGAAGUUUUGUUAUGUUUAUUAGUACGUAAUCUUUCAAAUAUAAUGUCAAUCCAUGCUUCUACAAUUAUACAAAAUCCUGAAUGGAUUUAGAUUCUUUUCAAAUAGACGAUUGUAGGAUGAUUUUUAAGUUUUGAAAAUGUUUGAUUUCGAGAAAAGUUGAAUAGGAUUUGUGAAAAAUCUUCAUUAUGACUGGGAUUCUUCAAGAAAGUUGUCGAGAAUCAUUAGUUUGGAUUCUAUCACUGUCUAUCAAUAUUACACAUUUGAGUAUCUAUCCAUCAAAGUUAAAAUUCCAAUUUUGUUUACAAAGAAGUGGUCCCCAGUAGCGUUAAUACACCCACGGGAGCGAGUAGGAAUGCAUUUCAAUACGCGCGAGAGUGGGGUGGGGUUAUAUUGAUGUCUGUUCUCUUUUUUAUCCUUCCCGCGGCCAUUAAAUGAGCCUCCUCAUAACUCACUCACACUGCUCUCUUCCUCUCUGCUGCUUUGAGGUUAGAGAGAAAAGAGUUCAACAAACAACGACUUAAAGAAAGAGUAGAAGAAGAAGCCAUUAAUGCAGAGCUCAACUACCCAUUUCUAGGGCAAUAUUUUUCCUUCACUCGCAAACACACACACACACACACAGAUAAUAAACCAUUUCUUCCUAGAUUCACCAAUGCUUCUCUCAUUCUUUGCUUGAUUCAUUUCCAUUCUCUGUUUGGAGCUUUAUUAUAGAUCUUCCUCCACCAUGUGGAACACGGCGGAUAAUGUGUUUGUUCGAACCGCCUCGUUUAGAGAAGACGGAGAAGAUGAAGAGGCCUUACGUUGGGCAGCGCUUGAGAGGUUGCCUACGUAUUCGCGUGUUCGUAGAGGUAUUUUCAAGAAUAUUGUUGGAGAUACUAAGGAGAUUGAUGUUAGUGAACUUGAGGUUCAAGAACAAAAGCUUCUUAUUGAUCGAUUGGUCAGUUCGGUUGAUGAUGAUCCCGAGAUGUUUUUUCAACGAGUGCGACGCCGUUUUGAUGCGUAAUUCUUCUAAUUUUGUUUCAUUGCUUGUUUAUGAUUUUUUGAUGUGGUUUAUUUACUGCUCUUGUGUGUGUGUGUUCGGAGAAAACAAAAUGAAAGGAUAAUGGUGAGAUUCUUUUGGAUUAUUUCUCUGCUUUGCUUUUUAUUAUUAACUAAUAAGUCAAAUGUGCUGUGAUUAUUGCUUCAUAGAGCUGUUUGAAAUUUUUGAUCGUGUCAAUUUGAGAGACGUUUAUCUUACUGUCACUAAUAAUGCUAGCUAAUUCUUGUUCCUGCUCAAUUUUGUUUUGUCAUUGGCUUGUGAAUUUGUAAUUUUCAUUAUUAAGCUACUUUCUUCUUAUUAACUUAUGCGUGAAAUGUGCUGUGAUUAUUGGUUAGAAUGUCGUUUUGUUGCAUCAUGGAGCUGUUUUUCACUAAUUACUACCGUUUUGAAGUUUGUGAUCGUGUCAAUUUGAGAGCCGUUAAUCCUAUAGUUAUUCUUACUAAAAUGCUUGCUAAUUUCUUUUCCUGCUGAAUUUUGCUUUUUGAUUGGUUUGUGAAUUUGUAACUUUCAUGAUUAAGGUACUACUGCGAUCAUACAAUUGCUUUACGUUCUUUAAUUUUUUUUUUUUUGUCGCAGAGUUGAUUUAGAGUUCCCUAAGAUUGAGGUUAGGUUUCAACAGUUGACUGUAGAAUCGUUUGUUCACAUUGGAACCAGAGCUCUGCCGACUAUUCCCAACUUCAUGUGCAAUAUGAUGGAGGUAGCGUAGUAUUUACUCUGUAUCUAUAAAAUGAUUAGUACGAAUUUUUUUUUUUUUUUUGUUAAUCAACUAUGGAAAAGUGUUUUCUUCAUUUGUUCUUCUUAUGGUUACUAGAUGUUUGUAUACAUUGUGCCAGGCACUUCUUAGGAAACUAAAAAUAUACAGCAGUCAGAGAAGCAAGUUGACAAUUUUAGACAAUGUCAAUGGAAUUAUAAGACCUUCCAGGUAAACUUUCUAGUUCUAACAAAAGUAGAAGUUGAAUCUUUGAUUAUGUUCCGAAUUUCGAAUUUUACACUAUCCUGAGCUCUUUUGUAGAUUAACUUUGUUAUUGGGUCCCCCGAGCUCUGGAAAGACAACUCUUCUUCUAGCCCUUGCUGGUCGCCUUGGAAGUGAUUUGCAGGUACUGAACAAUUGAAACUUUGCCCUUCACUGCAGAAACGUUGUUGAUAUUAACUAUCUGUUUUUAAUUCUUUGGUCAGCAAUCGGGGAGAAUAACAUAUAAUGGGCAUGGGUUCAAUGAGUUUGUUCCGCAGAGGACAGCAGCUUAUGUUAGUCAACAGGACCGACAUAUUGCAGAAAUAACUGUCAGAGAAACUCUCGAUUUUGCAGGCCGCUGUCAAGGCGUGGGGUUCAAAUAUGGUAAGCUAUGAAAAAUCUUGCAGUUUGACAGCUAAUACUUCUCUUAAUACUUAUUUGAAUGGUGAAGAUAUGCUCAUGGAACUAGCAAGAAGGGAAAAGAUUGCAGGGAUAAAACCUGAUGAAGAUCUCGAUAUAUUUAUGAAGGUAUGUGAUACUUCAUGUAUAAUUUUUCUUUAAUGUUCUUUUGUUACCAUCUGUUUUAUUGAAUUGAUAUGAAUUUGAUUGGUUGUAAUUGCUGCAAUUUUCUCUUUAGUCAUUGGCUCUAGGGGGUCAAGAGACAAGUCUUGUGGUGGAGUACAUCAUGAAGGUACAUUCAAUUUACUUUUCCCCCCUUGAUAUUUAUUGAACUGCUAAUAGAAGUUGCAACCUUGGUCCUUUUAGAUUUCACGUAUAUUUAUGGAUUAUUUGGCAACAUGUAAGAUAUGAUUAUUGAACUUCCAUUAUCCUCAAUCUCAACAAGUUGCUUUACUCUCCAUAAUCUUUAGCUUGGCGUAGAAGAUGCAAUCAACAUUUUGGUCGGUCUCACUCUCCAUAAUUUUUGGUUAUGAAGUUUUAUUUCUGGAAAAGCUGGUAACUCUGUUUAGUGUUUGACAGGAGAUUUUCAUUAAUUAGUUAUAUUAUAGAACCUUAAUAAUUCAACGUAAAAUUUUGAAAAGCGUACAGGUUUUUUAAGAAUUAUAUCAUUGUGCGUUCUUUCUAUGCAAUAUUUUGACGUCAUCCACACCUGAAGUAUUGAUAUCUGCGAAGAUUUUAGGGUUGGACGUGUGUGCUGACACAUUGGUAGGAGAUGAAAUGCUCAAAGGGAUUUCUGGAGGACAAAAAAAGCGUCUUACGACCGGUUUGUUACCAUCCAUCUCUUCUACACUAAUGGAUAUAAUAAUGAGUUUUGAUGAUUACAACUCAUUACUUCAGGCGAAUUGCUAAUUGGCUCUGCAAGAGUUCUAUUCAUGGACGAGAUAUCAACGGGGCUUGAUAGUUCAACUACCUAUCAAAUUAUCAAGUAUCUUAGGCAUUCUACCUGUGCACUUGACUCCACCACUGUAGUUUCUCUCCUGCAGCCUGCUCCUGAGACCUAUGAGUUAUUUGAUGAUGUUAUACUUCUCUGUGAAGGCCAAAUUAUAUAUCAGGGACCGAGAGACUCUGUUCUUAAUUUCUUCACAGCUAUGGGAUUUACCUGUCCCGAGAGAAAGAAUGUUGCAGACUUCUUGCAAGAAGUAAGCAAAGAGUGUAAAGAUUGAACUGAAAAUUCCCACUACUUUUUUGCUAAUGCGUUUGCUUACCAAAUAAUGGCUAUAGGUUAUAUCAAAGAAGGAUCAGGAGCAGUAUUGGUCAGUUCCUGAUCGUCCCUACCAAUUUAUCCCUGCAGCAAAGUUUGCCAAAGCUUUUCGUUUGUAUCAUGUUGGAAAGAACUUGACUGAAGAAUUGGAAGUUCCUUUUGACAGACGUUAUAACCAUCCAGCUUCCUUGUCAUCUUCUCAAUAUGGAGUAAAGAGGCUUGAACUUCUUAAGACCAGCUUUUCAUUGCUAAGGCUGUUAAUGAAACGAAACUCAUUUAUCUACGUUUUUAAGUUUAUUCAGGUAAAUAAAGCAGUUGUUCUUUAUCAAUUUUUGGUUUGAUUUUAAUGUUUUAGGUCUUCUUAGUAGACUGAAAUAAAUCCACUUGUUAAUGUUGUGUCCGUGAUAGAAACAACUUAUGCAGCCAUUAUAAAAACCAACAAUUGAAGGAUGACAUAUUUUUUCUGUAAUGUUCUCCUCAUUGUUUCUAUUAUGCAGUUACUACUGGUUGCAAUGAUUACAAUGAGUGUCUUUUUCCGGACAACAAUGAAGCAUGACACAAUUGAUGACGGAGGACUUUACCUUGGGGCACUCUAUUUUUCUACUGUUAUCAUCCUUUUUAAUGGAUUUACAGAGGUGUCCAUGCUGGUGGCCAAACUUCCUGUAAUUUACAAGCACAGGGAUUUGCACUUUUAUCCAAGCUGGAUUUAUACUCUUCCUUCUUGGAUCUUAAGUAUUCCAAUUUCACUUUUGGAAUCUGGUAUCUGGGUUGUAGUCACGUAUUAUGUGAUUGGAUAUGAUCCUGCUAUCACUAGGUAAGUGGUAAAGGUUGUGUAUUCCUUUUGAAUGUGGUGAGAUAAGGAUAAUUAUGUUGACAUGGAUGGACUUGAUUAUGGUUUCUAAAUAUGCAGAUUCUUGCGGCAACUUUUGUUAUUCUUUUCUCUGCAUCAGAUGUCUAUAGCACUCUUUCGCCUCAUGGGAUCAUUGGGACGUAACAUGAUUGUUGCCAAUACCUUUGGAUCCUUUACGAUGUUGGUUGUUAUGGCUCUUGGAGGAUAUAUCAUUUCAAGAGGUUGAUAUUGCAUGUUUUCUAUGCAACGUAUUAACAAACAUGAACUGUGCAAGUCUCACAUCUUUUCCUUCAUUGUAACAGAUCGUAUACCAAAAUGGUGGAUAUGGGGUUUUUGGUGGUCCCCAUUGAUGUACGCUCAAAAUGCUGCGUCUGUUAAUGAGUUUCUUGGGCAUUCUUGGGACAAGGUAAUAUUCUUGCUUCUACGACUAUUAAAUAAUCCAGGUGCAUCUGAUUUUAACGAUGUUGUGAACUAUUUUCUCUCUUUCUUCACUGUAUAGAGCGUUGGGAAGAAUACAAGCAUGUCACUAGGAGAAUCUUUACUGAAAGCACGCAGCCUUUUUUCAGAAAGCUAUUGGUAUUGGAUUGGUGUUGGUGCGUUGCUUGGAUAUACAGUGAUUUUCAAUUCGCUAUUCACAUUCUUCCUGGCAUACCUUAAACGUAAGCAAUCUGCUAUAAAUUGAUUAUAUUAUUUUACUUCUGCUUAUAUUUUAGCAUCGGAAGACUCUGCAAGAUGAUUUUUGAAAAAUGUAAAUUGGUUUUAAAAUUAUUUUUUCACUGAUUUGUUGCUUUCCCUUUUCUUCACAGCUUUGGGCAAAAGCCAAGCUGUAGUCUCCAAGGAAGAACUGCAAGAGAGAGAGAAAAGAAGGAAAGGAGAAACUACUGUAAUUGAGUUGAGACACUAUUUGCAGUAUUCUGGGUCAUUGAAUGGUAAGAAUCUGAUUAAGCUGUUUGAAAAACUUAGUAUAGUUUUUCUUAGCCAUUCGUCAAGUGCUGCCCUUGUCAAACUAAUUUUAUAAUUUCACCAUCUCAACUAUUUGGCAGGAAAGUACUUUAAACAGAGAGGAAUGGUACUUCCCUUCCAACAACUUUCUAUGUCUUUCAGCAAUAUUAAUUACUACGUUGACGUUCCCAUGGUGAGCUUCAAAUCCAGUUCUUUACUCAUUAUUUCGGGAACUUCUUGGUUGUAUAUCAUCUGACUUAAAAUAUUACUUCAGGAGCUAAAGCAACAAGGGGUAACAGAAGAAAGAUUACAAUUGUUGGUUAAUGUCAGUGGAUCAUUCAGACCAGGUGUGCUUACAGCUCUACUAGGAGUCAGUGGAGCUGGAAAAACCACACUCAUGGAUGUAUUGGCCGGUAGAAAAACUGGUGGGGUCAUUGAAGGAAGUAUACAUAUAUCCGGCUAUCCCAAAAGGCAGGAUACAUUUGCUAGAGUUUCUGGUUACUGUGAACAGACAGAUAUUCACUCCCCAUGUUUAACUAUUAUGGAAUCACUUCUCUUCUCCGCUUGGCUGCGAUUACCUUCAGAUGUUGACUUGGAGACACAAAGGGUAAAACUUGAUUGAUAAUUUUUUUUUAAAAAAACUAGUAUGGUGUGUAAUUAACAUAAAUUGAUAAUAGUUUUUAUUUGUGACAGGCUUUUGUUGAUGAGGUGAUGGAACUUGUUGAGCUUACCCCACUAAGUGGAGCUUUAGUUGGUCUACCGGGUGUUGAUGGUUUAUCAACAGAACAAAGGAAAAGAUUAACAAUUGCUGUUGAACUGGUAGCAAACCCAUCCAUAGUGUUCAUGGAUGAGCCUACAUCAGGGCUUGAUGCAAGGUCGGCUGCCAUUGUCAUGCGGACAGUAAGAAAUAUUGUCAAUACAGGGCGUACAAUAGUCUGCACAAUCCAUCAGCCCAGCAUAGAUAUUUUUGAAUCUUUUGACGAGGUAAUUUCCAUUUUUCUCCAGAACUUGCUUGCUUUUGAGUUAUCAAGUGCCAGAAAUUGUGUUCUCUUUAUCACUCAGAUCAAUUUUAAUUGCACGUGCAUCUUCCUGUCUCUAUUCUCCGCUACUAUCAUAUCUUAUGUACUUUACAAUACCUACAAACAAUAAUAAGGUCUACAAUAUGCACAAUUACUUCCGUUUCAUGUAUCUUCUAUUUUGUUGAAACUUGAAAAGAACGGUUUUCGUUUUCUUCCCACUUAUUUUUGUAUUACUUAAUUAUAUGUAGAAGAGUAAGGGAAUUAAGCCAUCAUGUAAUGGAAUUUCUUAUGCUUCUUCAAGCUCAAUGCUUAGAAAGUCAUUCCCUCCAUCAAUUCUUUGUAACAAAGUUACUUUUAAUGAUGGCAUUCUUGCUGCAGCUUUUAUUAAUGAAGCGUGGAGGAGAACUCAUCUAUGCUGGUCCAUUAGGACCCAAGUCUCGGGAACUAAUCAAGUAUUUUGAGGUAAUAUUAUUUAUAGACGCAUCAUUUUUAGUGACACCAAUUGCUAAAUAUUGUAUAUACACAAAUUCUCAGACAUCCCUGUAUUAUGUUAUGUAGGCAGUUGAAGGAGUUCAAAAGAUCAAAGCGGGCUAUAAUCCUGCCGCAUGGAUGCUUGAGGUUACUUCUGCAGUUGAAGAAAGUCGUCUUGGAGUGGAUUUUGCUGAAGUUUACAGGAGAUCAACACUAUUCCAGUAUGGAUUUAUUCAUUCUUUUAUUUCCAUGCAAAUACCUUUUGUUUACCAACCAGGUUCACUUCUUUUUGUUUCAGACGCAAUCUAGACUUGGUUGAAACCUUGAGCAGGCCAAUUAGUAAUUCAAAAGAACUGAGCUUUCCAACAAAGUAUUCUCAGUCAUCUUUCAAUCAAUUUUUAGCAUGCCUGUGGAAACAGAAUUUGUCUUAUUGGCGGAACCCACAGUAUACUGCUGUGAAAUUCUUUUACACUGUUAUCAUCUCAUUGAUGCUUGGAACAAUAUGUUGGAAAUUUGGUGCCAAAAGGUUUCUACUAUUACUUUUACCUGUUAUUACUUGUAUGCGUUCUACAUUCCACCUUUUUCUCACUUUUAUUUUCAUGCUAUCUUUCAACAAAAUAGUCAUUAAGUUACUGUUACUGUUACUUUUAAAAACUACAUGGUUAUCAUCAUUACUGUUUUCUCCCUUCACAGAGAAACCCAACAAGACUUAUUUAAUGCUAUGGGAUCCCUCUAUGCUGCUGUUCUUUUCAUUGGAAUCACCAAUGCUACUGCCGUUCAACCAGUUGUUUCAAUUGAGCGAUUUGUCUCAUAUCGAGAAAGAGCUGCUGGAUUGUAUUCUGCUUUACCAUUUGCAUUUGCUCAGGUAUUCCUCUUGAUGUUUUAUGUGUAUCUAUAAUGUAAUUGACUUCCAGAGAGUAGCCUAAUGCAUUACUUUUUAUGCAUAGGUCGCUAUCGAGUUCCCGUACGUGUUCGCACAGACAGUUAUUUAUUGCUCCAUUUUCUACUCCAUGGCUGCCUUUGACUGGACAAUUUUGAAGUUUAUUUGGUAUAUUUUUUUUAUGUAUUUUACCUUGCUAUACUUCACUUUCUACGGAAUGAUGACAACAGCUAUCACACCAAAUCAUAAUGUGGGUGCCAUUAUUGCGGCUCCCUUCUACAUGCUUUGGAACCUCUUCAGUGGCUUCAUGAUUCCUCACAAGGUAACACUUACCAUCUCUUACAUAUUUUUAGUUGUUAUCUUCACAAUUUUGCUUCAUAAUUCUAUAUCUCGUAAAAAUAAGCUAGUAGUGAUGGAAACUAGAUCAUUCUAGAGAUUCAACACUAUUAUUUACAACUUUUCUAAUCUCCGCUCUCUCUUACUUCCAUGGUUCCUCCCUCGAAAACAAAAAAAACAAUAUUUGGGUGCAUUUUGAUUUUCUUAUGCAUUCCCCUCUCUCCCAUGGAAUAUAAAAAAUAAAAUAAAAUAAGAUAAUUUUAAAAAAGAAUUCAAGUGAAUUUGCUACCUGGCAAAUAAUAAUUUGAUAAGAUGCGUAAAGAUAGAUGCAACUCGAAAUGCACUUAGUAUUUUUUAAAAGAAAAAGAAAAAGAAAAACAUAACAUUAUAUAUUUUUUAACUUUUAUCCUUAAGUUCUGGUUGAAGUAGAGAUAUAAUUAAAACCCUAAUUUAUUAGGUGUUAAACUUUUGAAUUAAUGGAUGAUUUAAUCAUUCUCUUUUGCCUCUCCUCACAUACAUGUGAUGUGAACAAACUGGUGGAGGCCCCUACCAUAGCAUCAUUAAUUACGUGACUGAUGUGAAAUGACAAAAGAAGCAUGUUUUUGGUUCUGCUUUAUAUUCAAUUUUGAGCUGACCAAAAGUUGUUUGGUGUACUACUUAUUUCAGAGAAUCCCAAUAUGGUGGAGAUGGUACUACUGGGCUAAUCCAGUGGCUUGGAGUUUAUAUGGACUCCAAGUAUCACAAUAUGGCGAUGACAAUAAGCUGGUAAAGCUAUCAGAUGGAAUUAACUCGGUAGCUAUACAUGACGUUCUCAAGCACGUUUUUGGGUUUAGACAUGAUUUUCUAGGUGUAGCUGCCAUCAUGGUAUUCGGUUUCUGCUUGUUCUUUGCCACGAUCUUUGCUUUCGCAAUAAAAUCCUUCAACUUCCAAAGGAGAUGAGAGGUUUGAUUUUGUUUAAAACAAAUUCUUAAAAAUUUAUAAAUUAAACAAUGUCAAAAGUUUAUAGAUUCUGUAUAGUAAUAACAGUAUGUAACUUUCAGAUCACUCAUUGUAUACUUCUAGCUGGAAUUUGUCUAUAGAAAGUAAUAAUAGGUUCUAUUUUCAUUAAACAAAAAAUAUACGUUGAUGAGUAUUAUUUGAAAGUAAUGAAUUUUGUAUCGGUAACUACUUAUGACAUCAAUUAUUAGUUCUUCCUUCUUCCUUGUUGACUUCAUUUUUUUGCAGCCUACAAAGAUAAUUUAAAGCAACUCAAAAAACUUCCCAUUUUCAAGCAGCAGCUGAGAAGAGAGAGAUGGAGAAAGAUUGUACCAUUUUAAUGUGGCUCUUCCUUCUUCCUUCCUUCUCCUCUUCAUCAAUGGCUGCCAACAGGUUUUGCCCUCGUUCUGAAUUAUAUAGUCUCAUCGCUUCUUCGUAUGGUUCCUCGUCAAGUAGUUUCUAUUUCACAAUUCACUAUUUUAAUAAAGAAGCUACAUAAAGAAAAAGAAAAAGAAAAGACCAAAAAAGAUGUUGAAAUCAAAGCGGGUUUUUAAAAAUAAUUAUCAACAUUUAUAAAAGAAUUGCCAAUAUAACAAAAUUUAUUAUCAAUAUGAUGAUUAAUCACUAAUAGACUAGGAUAAUUGAAUCUAAAUUUUGUUAUAUUUGUAUUUUUUAAAAUUAGGUUGUAAUGUACACAAUAGUAAUCUCUUUUUUUUACAUACUAAGAGUUCUUGUGGGUUGAAAUUAAGGUAGUCUUGAUCGUCGUCGUCGUCGUCGUCAAUGAUUAUGAUUGGUAUUUUCAAGUUCUGCAAUCCUUUUGAAUUCGAAGUUGAAUGCUUUAAUUGAGUCUUGAAGGGAUUAUCCUCUUCGCCUAAUAGUUUCUGUUUUAAACAAGCAAUUAAGCUUUAGGAUUAGAAGUAAAGAGGAUAGUCAAGUUAUACAAACCAACCAUUUCAAAACCUUAGACAGGUUUCAAUUACACCUCAAAUUUAAAAUUGUACAUUUAUUUAAAUUUUAGGAUUGCAUAUCAAUUUUCAUAUAGUCAAUAUAUAUCCAUUCAUAUUAACCUCUUGGUGGGAAAAUCGCAAAAAAAAAAAAAAACAUCUCUUUAAAAUAAAUUCAAAGUUCAAAAGAUUAGAAAACUUUCCAAAUGUUUCGGAACGAAAGCAUAAUUGAAACUUAUUCCAAAAUUAGGAGAAAAUAUAUAUGUGUGUGUGUAUAUAUAUAUAUGACCAAACGUAAGUAGGUUUGUACAUACAAGGAAGUGCUUUGGGAUACGUUCAUCUUCAAUAUACUUCUUUGCUUUUGCUCUUAUCAUUUCUACAGCACCAGAGGGAAACUUUGCACAAAUGAAAAAAAAAUCAAUAAAUUUAUUUGGUACAUCGUUUGUAUCAAUAGUCCUAUCAUUCUGAGUUUAGUUUGACAUUUAAGAGCAAUGCUUAGAUUCAUUGUAGACUACACUCAAUCGUUCUCGUGUAGCCACUCCAAUCACAUUGUAAAACAGACAAAAAAAUUUAUAAAAAAAGUAAACAAUUGUGGGACCGAACGAUAGUGUUACUUAAUUAAUAGAUUUAUUUUCUUGUGUGAGAGAAUAAAACUUAAUUACUAUGAAUUCAAUAUUGAAAAUAUUAAUCACUAUAGCUUAAUCUCACAUGAUUUUAAUAUUAUUUUAUCGAACAUUAUUGUAACCUACACUUUUAAAUUAAGAAAUUGAAAUUAACUGAACAAUAAUUUAAAUCAUAUUACAAAGUGAUUAAUUUUUUAAAAAACAAAAUUGGAGCCAAAUUUUAGAUUCUUUCACCCGUGUCUAUAAUUGAUAGAAUUUGAAAAUAUCUAUAUUUGAAAAUGUUCCCUAAGAGAUUUUAAACAAUAAAAAUUAAAUUUAAGCGAAAAAAAAAGUUUCAUGUCAACUAUAUAUAUAUAUUUGGAAAAUUAAAUAUUUGAGAGUAAGACAAAAAUUUUGUCAAAAAUAUAUGUAGAAUUAUAACAUUAUUGUUAUACUAAAAGCUAUAUUCUAAAACUAUACAUUAAUUAAUCUUAUUUAUUUAGCUUUAAUUCUUGUAUUAAGCAAAUCUCAAUAUAACUCCGUCAAUAAGCACUAACUAAAUUUAAGAAUAAAUCUCUCAAAUUCUUUUAUCGUUUAAUGUAUUUCUUAGUUUCUCAAAUUCUCUAUAUAAUAAUGUUCAUAUUAAACGCACGACUUGAAAAAAGUCGAAGAUUUAAAAGAUAUAAGAUUACGUCAUUAUAUGACAACAUAAAACUUCAAAUCACAAAGUUUUGAUAAAUCUAUAUUAUCAUUCUCGUGGCCAAUAAAUGGUUUUUCAUAUAAAUCAUAGGAAAGUGAAAUAAUUAAAUUUAUAAGGGAGAGAAGAGUAGUAGAGUUGUUGUUAUAUUGUCUCUGCCUUUAAUUACAAAGGAAAAGCAAAUUAACUAAAACCUUCAAACUUGGGUUUGUGAUGAUGUGAAAGUUGUGGACCCUUUGAUGUCUAUGUAUUUGAUCCAAAAGAAAAACUUUGUUCAAUGUGACUAACUAAAAGAUAUCCAACCAAUUGAAGUAUGUUUGAAUGGAUAAUUUUUUAAUCUUUCAUUUUCAGUUCUUAUGGUCAAAUUAUAUUUACUGACUAAUCAAAUUAAGUUCAAUUCAAAAUAUAAGUAACACACCAUAUUGUACUAAAAUACACACCUUUCAUAUUAGAAAUGACAGUGGAAGAAAGAAAAUAAAGAAAAAUAAGUGUUUUAUAUUUUUUUGUUGGAGAAAGUCUUUGUUAAUAAUUAAUAUUAUUAUGUAUUCUGACUUUGUUAAUAAUUAAAAGCCAAAGGAAAUUGAUAUGAAACAUUCUUGAACAUCAUCAUGAAGGAUUAUACAAAGAUAUUGUGAUUAAUAAUAAUAUUAUGAUUCUUAUUAGGUUCUCUAUUGAGUGUUUAAUUUGGCAUGAAGAAUUUGAUAUGAUUAUUAUCAAAAUCUAAGCCUUUAAGUUUUGUCAAACAAUCAUUUCUUAGGUUACUAUCCAUUUUAAAUUCGAUCUCUUUUAUACUAAAAAAAAAUUUCAAUCAAAUUAUUUCAAAAAAGUUUGUUCACGAGAAGUGUUAGUUGCAGUAAUAUUGUUUUAUUAACAUGUAAUUACCACUUAUUUCAUGUUAAUUUGAUUUUGAUGACAAUUUAAUUUUAUAACAAUAAAAUUUUUAAAUUUACCGAUAAAAAUGAGAAUUUGAAAGAUUGAGAAAGAAAAUUUCUAAAAUUAAUUACUAUUAUAUAUAACUAAUAAUUUAAUUUUCAGUAUGUAUUUCCACAAUAAUAUAAGUUUUUUUUUUGUUUGCACAUUUACAUUUAUGGCAAUGAUUUAAUUUGAGAAUUUGACUUAGAAAUAUAUUGUUGUAUGCUAAGACAAUCAUAUAUGGCCAAAAUGCAAUCCUUUUCAUCAUGUGUGGUCUUAAACAAGUAGAGAUAAUAAUUUCAAGUGUCUUUUUCAAAGAUUAUUUCAUAUUUAAUAAACUAAUAAUCAACUUUUAUUUUAAAAUUUCUAUCUAAAUUCACAUUAAAUAAAUAAACAAGAGAUAGUUAAUAUAAUAAUUGGCAUAGAUUAUAUUAAAAUAAACGAGGUUUAAUAUAACUUUUUUUUUAUCUUUCACAUUCAUCGACCCAUUCCAAUAUUUUGUAUAGAGAUGAUAUAUACGUCAUUAUGGUGUGCCUUUACCACAAAUGCUCUUAUGCUUAUGUCAAGAAGUUUGUGUGUUGAUAAAUAGAGAAAUUUGAGUAUUAUUAGAAUGAGUUUAUCUUCUUUGAAACGAUCAUGAUGACGUACGUAUUUAUAUAGAUUAGGGUUUAGCGAAGUAACUUUAUAGGAUUAACUCUUCAUCUCACGACCUAGUCAAAAUGAUUGCCCUGUUUCGUGUAUAGAUAGAGUCAGCCUCCACCUUGAUCAAGCACGAGCACCUUCCCCUAGGACCAAUUUUUGUCGGGAAUACACUAAGUCAUUCCUCAUUAUAUUAGUUUAAUUAAUUAUUUUGCUAGGUGGCCUUAGUUUUGACUAAGAUCACACAUGUUGAUUUUUAAGGUAUAUAUAUUGAUCCGAACUAACCCUCUUACUCCAUUAUCGGUCUAGGUUACUAUUUUUGACUCAAGACCUUGUUAUAUCUUUUAUAUUUUUGUUUACUUCUAUCGUCUCUCUUUUACGUAUGUCGAUUAUAUCAUUUGGUUCUCAAUCAUUUAUCACAACGACUAUUAUUAUAAGUAUAAAUUACUCAAAUAACAAUACACAUUGUCUCACUUUGUCACUUUCUCAGAAUUAAACUAUAAUUAGAAAAAGAAUAUACAUCUCCAAAAUUCUAUUUGUUUAAACACAAAUUAAUAAUGUGAAAUAAUUAGUUUAUAGGCAAAAUUAGGGUCUUAUCUUGUCCCAAUAUGGUUAGUUAUAGACAACAACAAUAAUCAAUCCCACCUGUCACAUUAAUAGAAUUAAUCAAGCUUAUGUAGGUCCCUUUUUCUCUAAACAAAAUAAUAAUAAUAAUAAUAAUAAAAGGUGUCCAUUUCUUUCUUAAAUUUAAAAUUUGACAAAAGUAAUAAUAACUAUUAAUAAUAUUAUUUUUUAUUUUAUUAAAAAAAAUAGCAAAACAGUAUCAUUUCUUCCAUAGGGCUUAAAUCAUGGCCAGAAGGGCAAACCUUUCUUUAUUAUCAUUUUAUGGAAUGGGUUCUAAUACAUGCUCUCUAUAUAUAUCAAUGGAGAAGAUCUUUCAAGAAAGAUUAGACGUAGACUAAGAGAAUCUAAAUCCAACGAUAAAAUUUAUGUAAGUUGAGCUAUCAUAAGUAAGUUGUAUAUAUAGAGAGGAUCCGUUCAAACUUUAUGAUAUAAUUAUAUUAAAUUUAUCUUCACAUAAUAUUGCAUAAGAAUAUCGUAGUCUAAAAGUUCAUAAUAUGUUCAAAUCUUUGUACUUGCUCAUUGGGUAGAUGAAUUAACUUUAGUACAAUUUAUUUUAACCAUGCAAUGUAAAGUAUUAUUGAUUAGGACUUAUAUAUCUGUGUUGGGGGAAGAAAUGGAAUUUAAUAGCAUGACAUAAAGCAUAGAAAUUAAAAGAUAAUUAGAAUAAACAAAAAAAAAAAAAAAAAUGAAGUAGAAAGAGAGAGAGAGGGGGAGAGGAAUAAGAUCAAAGGAGAAUCUCACCCAAACAAAUAAAUGAAAUAAAAAUGAGAAUACAAACAAAUACAAAGGUGGCUAUGAAAAAAGGAAGAAGUUGAAUAAUAUUAGAGUAAUUGGUAGUCCAUUUGUUGGCAUUUGCAAACAUUGUAAUAAGACAGAAAUAUAUGCCUCAUUCUUCCAUUUGGGAUCAUUUACUUCCAUCAUAUUAAUUAUAUACUAUUAUAUAUAUAUAUAUAUAUAUAUUUACAUAUGAUAUGAUAUUAUAUGAUUUAAUAUUUUACUUUAUGAUCUAUGUAUUGCUAUACAGGUAACAUACACCAUUACCAAUCUAAACUUCACAUGUUACAUUUUGAUACUAAUGAUAACAUAACAAACAAAAAGUUCAUUUUCUUUACAAUACAUGUAGAUAUAUAAGGACUAUUCUAGUGGUUGUUAUAUAGACAACUUGAACUACUUAAUAUAAGACUUGAAGAAUAAUUCUUUUUUUUUUUUUAACCCUUGUACUUAUAUAUAUAUAUAUAUGAGAAUACUUUUGUAUUUAAUUGAAAGUCAAGUGUUUAGCUUUUCAUUUAAUUGGUUCACUUACACUUAAAAAAUCAAUGUCUUGUUAGGAUGAAUAAUGACAUAUUUUUAGGAGUUGUUUUUUAAUAGUUUAAAAUCAUUUUAUCAUUUUAAAAUUACUUAAAAAAUAUUACUCAUUGUUCAAAAUCAUAAUAAUAUGAAGUUUGUAUUUAAAAUUGAACAUUGAAGUGAUUUAAUGACUUCAAAAUGUUUAUGAUUUCAUCAAAAUUAAAUAAUGAAAUAAAGUUAAAGGUUUGUUUUUCAUUAACUAUUAAAUUUAAAUUUACAAUCCUUGAUUAUUUUAAAUAUUUUGAACAUAAUGAAUUUGGGUCAAAAGUCAAAGGUGGGGGGUUAAUUUUGCGUUUACUAAUAAUCAAAGUGAGAGUUUGUAAAUUGGAUAAUUAGCCCAAGUUAAUUAUACGUAAAAACGGGUUGGUGGUCAGAUUUACGGAAUUAAACAUAUGAUGGAGCAAUGGGGACCGUCAGAUCUGGCUUGGCCCACACUGCCCUAACGUGUAUGAUAUGCAAACCCUUUAUUACACAAUUAAUAAUAGUAAUAAUAAAAUUAGAAAAAUGACGGCCGUUAUUUUUACUCCGUUUUUUCACCUCUUCUUUCUAAAUCCUAAUCUCCACCCCCAGCGCGUGUCUUCCACUUCCUUUCUUUUCUUUUCUUUUUUAAAAUGAUAUUUGAUUGUUAAUAUUUGGAUUAUGCUCUAUAGGAUUCAUACCUUCUGAUAUUUAUAAUUGUAUGGUGAGACAUUUUUGUAUUUUCUAAAUAGAUAGUAUCUUAAAUUUUGUUAUAUUUUACUCAUUUUUAUAAUAAUUUCUCAUAUAUAUAAAUGGUUAAUGUUUAUAUGUAUUGUUUUUAUUCUAGAUUAAUAUAUAAAAGAAAAUUUAAAAAAAUAGCAAAAUUCAUCUCUCUCUACCUCUCGUUCCAAAAUUUUACUAUAUUUUAUAAAUAAUUUUAUUUUUUUGUGUUAUUCAUGACAAGUUUUCUUAAUUAAUAAAAAAUUAGUGAGAAUUGUAAAAAAUGGUUUUGUUCUAAAUAGUUUGUGAAAAUUUUCUAUUUUCGAAAAAAAAAAAUCUCUAAUAUAUUGUACCUUAAGACAGCAAGGGAAAAGAAAAACAAAAGAGGAAAAGGAAGGACAAUUGACCAAAUCUUGAGUUAUCUUAAGAAUAAAAUUUUAAAAUUUAUUAAUUUUUCUUCAUUGGAAUUUCAAAAUGAAAAGAUUGAUUAUAUAUAUAUAUAUAUAGUUAAACAAUAAGAUGUUGUUUUCAUAUUAAAAAAAGAAAACUAAUGAUUUUAUCUCUACAUAUGGAAUGGAGGUUGGAGGAGCUGUUUUACAUUGUUGAAUCUAAAAUGAAAAAACAAAACUAUAUGACAACUAAUGUAAACAACAUACUUGACAAUUGGUUAUCAAUUAAUAUUUCAUGAAUAAUGAAUAAUUAUAAUAUAAAUUUAACAAAUUUUGUUAUUUACUUUUAUUUCCACCAGAAUUUUGAUUUAAAAAAACUAAUAGUAUAAAUUAUUAUACAUACUGUUUUAAAUGUUGUUGUAAUAAAAUAGAAAGUUGCAAUUCGAAGUAUACUUUUAGUUGUAUGAAAUUAUUUGUAGUUAAAAGUGAACUUAGCUCGAGAGUAAUUGAUAUAGCUCUUGAAUCUAUCAUGUGUACUAAAAAAAAUCAUGUGUAAAUAAUAAUUUUUAUAAACCUUCAACAUUAGAAAAAAUGUUACCCAAAAAAACGAGGACAAAAUUUCAACAAAUAUUAUCUAAAAUUGUUGUGAAAUUUUAAUUUUAAUAUUUAUCAACAGUUAAGGAUUAAAACAUGAAAAAUUAGAGGUUCACAUCUAUAACGAAAGUAUUUUGUUGUAACUAAGUUAAAAAUUAUUAAAAUUUUAUGAAUCAAUUUGAUCAUCAACAACGAUAAUGACAAUAAGUGGAGUUGUUUCUUCUUGGUUGAGCAACAAAGAGUGAUAUACCCUAUUGCAUUUCUUAUUGAGAAAGGUUAGAGAAUUAUACCACGGUGCCAAAUAUAGUCGAUAACUCGAACGUCUUUGUUUUUAUAGUAAUCUAAAAAUGCAUUGAAGUUGAGAGGGUUGGAGUUCCUGUAGACCUAUGGUAAGUCCGUAGUUGUGAGCUCUACAAUGAGUAAAUUGCACGAUUGGAAGAGCGCGUGGGGAUGAGGAAAAGAUGCAUACGAAAGAAAGGGUUUUGUGUUUCUUCUUCAUCUUCUUCCUUUGAUUUCACUGCAACAGUUUAUAAAAAUUAAAAGAAAAAAGGAAAGAAAGGUUUACAAAUGGUUUUCUCUGCCACUCUCAACUCUCCAUUUUCUCUUCUUCCUUUUCCUUUCUAACUUUCGUGGGCCAUUCAUCCUCUUUCUCUCUCUACAAAACCUCCCUCUUCCCCCUUUUUCUCACUUCACCCAUUUCUUUCUCUCUAUCUCUCUCUCAUGGCUUUUCACCGGCAAACCAUUUUUGGUUUUCUCAAAUACCACCAUACAAUACCACUAUCCAUCUCUUUUCUCUAAUUCCUCCGACCCCUUUGGUUUUCUCUCUCUGAAUCCACAAUGGCUACUGCAAUUUCUCUUUGCUCUGUUUUUCUUCUUCUUCUACUUGUGAUUCAGUGGGUCAACUCGGAGCCGACUCAGGAUAGACAAGCCCUUCUCGAUUUCUUCUCUAAAACUCCUCACGCCAAUCGGGUUCAAUGGAAUCUUUCUAAUUCCGUCUGUAAUUGGGUCGGCGUUGAGUGUGAUUCAAGUAAGUCCUUUGUUUACUCUCUCCGUUUGCCUGGUGUUGGCCUUGUUGGAUCGAUUCCGGCUAAUACAGUUGGGAAAUUGACUCAGCUCCGAGUUCUCAGUCUCCGUUCCAACCGUCUCUCCGGCGAGAUCCCAUCGGAUUUUUCCAAUUUGGUAAUGCUAAGGAAUUUGUAUCUUCAGGAUAAUGCUUUCUCCGGAGAGUUUCCGUCGAGCUUGAUUCGGCUGACUCGGCUGACUCGGCUGGAUUUGUCGUCGAAUGAAUUUUCCGGUCCGAUUCCGGCUUCUGUUGACAAUCUAACUCACUUGAGUGGGAUUUUCUUACAGAACAAUGGAUUCUCCGGUUCACUCCCGAAUAUCUCCGCCCUUAACUUAACAAGCUUCAAUGUCUCUAACAACAAACUCAACGGCUCGAUUCCGAAUUCCUUAGCGAAAUUCCCCGCCUCUUCCUUCGCCGGAAACUUAGAUCUCUGCGGCGGACCAUUCCCACCUUGCAGCCCAUUAACUCCUUCUCCAUCUCCAUCACAAAUCCCCCCACCAUCCAACAAAAAAUCUAAAAAACUCUCCACGGCAGCAAUUAUCGGAAUCGUAAUCGGCGCCGUUUUCGCAGCUUUUCUCCUCCUCCUCAUCCUAAUCCUCUGCAUUCGUCGCCGGUCCAACAAAACACAGACGAAAUCACCAAAGCCACCAACGGCGGUGGGAACGGCAGCGAGAUCUAUUCCAGUAGCGGAAGCUGGAACAUCGUCGUCGAAAGACGACAUUACCGGAGGGUCAGUGGAGGCGACGGAAAGGAACAAGCUGGUGUUUUUCGAAGGUGGGAUUUACAACUUUGAUUUGGAGGAUUUGUUGAGGGCUUCGGCGGAGGUAUUGGGGAAAGGAAGCGUCGGAACGUCGUAUAAGGCGGUGCUAGAAGAAGGGACGACGGUGGUGGUGAAACGGCUGAAGGAUGUGGUGGUGACGAAAAAGGAAUUUGAGAAUCAAAUGGAGAUUUUGGGGAAAAUUAAACAUGAAAAUGUGGUUCCACUAAGAGCUUUUUACUUCUCCAAAGAUGAGAAAUUGCUUGUUUAUGAUUAUAUCUCCACCGGAAGUUUGUCGGCCAGCCUUCACGGUCAGUACUCUGCUUCUCCUCUGUUUUCUUUUUCUUUUCUUUUUAUUUUCAUUUCAGUCCCUAUGAGUGCUGUUUUUUUUUUCUUUCUAUUUUGGUCCUUCUAAUUUUAAUUUUAAUAAUAUAUUAUUAGUUUUCUUUUAUUAUUUUUUAAAAAUAAAAUAUAUAAUUUUCAAAAUAUAUCCAUCCCUCCAUCCAAUCAACAAAUAUAACAUAAUCGAAAAUAAUUAGUAUAUAUAGUAAAAUUUAGAUUAAGCCUAAAGAGUUCGUACAAACUCUAUCUAUUAUAUUAGGCAUGAAUUUUGUUAUAUUUACCAUGGCUUAAAAAUGAUAACAUAGAAUUAACAAUUAAUUUUAAAAAUACUAACCAUUCCAAUUAUUCAAAUAACCAAAUUAAAAAAAAAAAUAGUAAUAAACCUAAAGUAUAGGGACUGAUAAUGUAAUCUUUUUGUUUUUUUAAUAAUAAAAACUUUUAUGUUAAUUAUUUGAUUCCAAUGCUUGCAUUGUUCCUUGAGAAAGUUAGUAACUAUUGACCACAUUGAACCUUUGGGAUGUGACCCAUAUGGGUUUUAAGUAUUUUUCUAGCAAAUAUAUAUAUAUAUAUUCAAAAUUAUUUUUACAAAAGAGAUUAGAUAGGAUUGAGAUUCAAACACUCAUUGAAAUAUAGCAUAAACAAGCCAUAUAGAAUUUGAUAGGUUUUGUUUAUUUUAUAAAUAGUUUCUAAGCCAACCUUAAAAACCAACUAUGAUAUUAUGUCCACGAUGGAGUAUUCCUAACUUCAUCCAAUAAUAAUUCACUAUAGGUAUGUUUUUAUGUUUCCUAUUUAUAUUUUAAAAAGAAAUUGUUUAUGGAAAUAGAGUAGGAACAAAAUUCAUUUAUAUUUAUUUAACCAUAUGUUCCUUGAUUUAAUUUGCAAAAAAAGGAAAAAAGGACUUUAAUUUAAAAGAAGAAGAAAAAAGGAAUAAUAGAUAGAGAGAAGAAAAAGGAAAAGAGAUGAGUGACAGCUCAUGGGGUGGCUUUUUGUUCAAGAGUUCACAUUAUGAGCAUGUAGUGAUGGACAAAAAGUAUUAACAAAAACUCUAUACUUUAUAUUAAAUUUUCCACAUUAAUUUGAUAUCUAUGAGUAGUUUUCUAUAUGCAUUUAUUUAUUUAAAAAGUGCACUUCCUUUAAUUCCACUCUGUCUACUACAGAGACAUUCUUUAGUUUUUGAGACAUUCAGCUUUCUUUCAUCUUUCAUUUAUUAUUUGAACUCUACCCUCUCUAUUUACCAUUUUAACCCUCUCUAUGAUGAGAUGACCCAAGAAAAAGAGGAGAAAAGAUGGCUUGUGAAUAAAGAAAGCUACAAAAAAGAGUCACUCACUGCAGUGUUGAUUUUUUGUAGUUUAAAGUUGGUGACAUAUGUAUGUUUAUUUAUUCAUCUAUUUUUCUUUUGAGAUUUGCUUUAAACUUAUAAUUGAAGCCUUGGGUUGAGGCUUUUAACAAAGGUUCUCACUUUGCCUCUGCCCACUUCUGAAAUAAUGAUAAAUUGCUCAAAAGUCCCCACACCUCUUUUCCUAUAUCAAAUUCUUAGGGAAAUAAAAUAUGUCAUUAAAUUUCAUUUCCACUCCUAUGAAUCCUAUGCAUACAUCGUCUUAAUGAAGAAGAAAAUGACAUUGGAAAAGUGGCUUCUAGUAAAGAUCUGGCUUUCGGUUGCUUUGACUUAAGAUGUUAACCCCAUAAUUCAAAUCUCAACUUUAUUCCUUAAUUUCAAUAUUUCCCUAAAUGAACUCUACCUUUAAACCUAUUCAUAUUUGUUAGUCCUACUUUUGAAUUAUAAGUUCAACAUUAGGAAACUCAAAAGUUUAGUUCAUUUAGAUAAUCAUUUAGGUUUUGUUUGAGAGAUAUUUUGUCAUGUAUAGAAAAUAACCUCUCCUUUUUUUUUUUUUUCUUGUUUUGAAUGGCUCUAAAUCUAAACUAAUUGUGUUUAUAUUGAUUUUCAAUGUCACAGGAAGCCGAGGCUCCGGGAGGACGCCGUUGGAUUGGGAUUCAAGAAUGAGAAUAGCACUAAGCGCCGGAAGAGGAUUAGCCCAUCUCCACCUCACCGGCAAGGUGGUUCACGGCAACAUUAAAUCCUCCAACAUUCUUCUCCGUCCAGACCACGACGCCUGCAUUUCCGAUUUCGGUCUAAACCCACUUUUCGGCACCGCCACACCGCCGAAUCGCGUCGCCGGCUACCGUGCACCGGAGGUCGUCGAAACCCGAAAGGUCACAUUCAAAUCCGACGUUUACAGCUACGGAGUUCUCCUCCUGGAACUCCUAACAGGAAAAGCCCCCAACCAACAAUCCCUCGGUGAGGACGGAAUCGACCUUCCACGGUGGGUUCAAUCCGUCGUCCGGGAAGAAUGGACGGCAGAGGUUUUCGACGCGGAGCUGAUGCGGUUCCAUAACAUCGAAGAAGAGAUGGUUCAGUUGCUGCAGAUUGCAAUGUCCUGUGUUUCGACGGUUCCCGAUCAACGACCGGCGAUGCCGGAAGUUGUACGGAUGAUCGAAGAUAUGAGUAGUCAUAGAAGUGAGACGGAUGAUGGGUUGCGUCAGUCUUCCGAUGAGCCUUCGAAAGGAUCAGACGUGAAUACGCCACCGGCGGAGUCUAGAACUCCACCGGGAGUGACGCCGUAGGAAGGGCAAAAAGGGAAAAGAGUUGUUAAUUUUCUUUUGGGAGAGAAAGAAAUAUUGUGGGGGCCCUUCUUCAAAAUUGGUGCAUAAAAAAAUGGGAUUAAAAGUGCUUUUAGGGUUUGAUUGAAGAGGGUAAAAUGGUCAAAAUCUUCCAUUUGUAUUUCUUCAAGUUUUACUAUUAUUAUUAUUUUGUUUAUUUUUAGUUAUGUAAUGAUUUUACAAAAAUGGAGGAAAAAAAAAAAGAAAUUUGUAGGAGUGAUUUGGGGGAAAGUUUCAUGUGGGAUGAACAUGGUGGUUGUAUAAAACUUGGGAAUUGACCUUGUGGUCAUUUGAGGUUUUUAUAAUUACUUUUAUUUUAAUUUCUCCUUCUUAUUAUUUUCAAUGUUUUUCUUUUUUCUUUCUUUUCAUUCAUAUAAAUCAAUAUAAACAAGAGUAUUAUUUUGAACGCACCUCACUUUUAAAUUUCACUCAUUUUCAUGCUUCUCAUUUUAAAGAAAAAUAAAAUUCACACUAUACACUAACUUAACUAUCGUAUAUUGACUUAAUGGUAAAAAUAGAAACAGUUACAAUAACUAACUAAGAGAUCUGGCAAAAAUGACAUAGUUUUCAUGUUCAUUGUUCUUAUGACACACUUUUACUUUUUAAGUUAAUUUAAAAUUUAAAAUAUUUUUUAAAAAAAAAAUCUAAUUUUUGGUGCAAAACAUUUAUAAAAGCGUGAUAAUGUAGCUGAAAAAUAAUACAUUAGACUAUUAAUUAUAAACUAUGAAAAAUAAAUAAAUGUUUGAGUAAUAUUGUUAGUGGGUGUGUGAUAUUUAUAAGGGAUUGAGAAUCUAAAGUAAUUGGGUAGCUGCUAAAGUGGCAAAAGUGAUAGUGAUCAACUCAAAUUCAUUAUUUAUGCUAAAGUUUAAUUAAUGAAAAUAUUGUUUUAUAUGAUAUGAUAAUUAACAACAUGCAUGGAUUGUUUGAAUAAUCUAAUUAGUAAUGAUAAAAAAAAAAAAAAAAAAGCAUAUAGGUUUGUUUGAAUCUUUCUUAAUAUUAAAAAGUAGUUGAGAAAAAAGCACUUAAUUAAAUUAUCCUUAUUUUUGGUGAUGUUAUCUUUCUGAAAAUACAUACAUCUUACAAUAUUUUAAAUGUGUUGGUAAAGACAAAUGUUUAACUUUCAAACUUUUGGUUUAACUGAGGUCAAUUUUUUUUCUUUAGGGCACUCAAGUUUUAACUUUGAGCAUUAUAAUACAAGUCAUUUUCUUUUAUUCAUUGAUAUUAAUUCCUUGUUCACUAGUUCUAACGUGUCAAAAACUAUAACAAAACUAAAAAUACCAAGUUCAAGAAAAUAUAUCGAUAUAACCUAAAUAAUUUAUAGUACAAAAUGCACAAUACAUAUACUAGAAAUUGAGUAACUUGCACUCUAUGAUUCUAUCUCUAUAAAUUUAAAUUCAUAAUAGACAUGGUCGUACUUAAUAUCAGCGAACAAUGCUUAACUUACCCAAAAUACCCUUUUUCCACCUUUUACUUUUUUUUUUUUUUCUCGUAGGUAAGAGAGAAGCAAUACUUUCAUGUUUCUUACAUGCAAGAGGUAGCAAUGAGACCAAAUAGCAAAUGAGGACAUUAUUUGUACCCUAAAAUUUGACUUUGGAAAAGAUAAAAUGUACUUUUACUUUCUUCUAUCAAGUGGCACAUGGGCAUGUAACCCUAGCAACCUUCUUAUAUACCCUUAUUUUCUUCUCU